rnacentral:lncRNA from 1 species
GGUUUAAUACAGUAAUGUAAUACUAGAUUACAGUGUUUAUAGCAUUAAUAUGUUUGGUUCAGUUUAUAAAAUUUAGUAAUCCUGACAUAAAAGUAUAGUUUUUUUUAAAAUUGCCCUUAUUGGUCAUUUGAAUAUUAUUUUUUGCGGAAAUGACGAAUGGAGGGAAGGAGAUCGUGAUGAUUACUUGGGAGGAUGACGCAAUAGAAAAUGAUAGGUGUUCGAACGAUCGAGAGAGAGAGAGAGAGAGAUGUCGAGAGAGAGAGCGAGAGAAAGCGGCGUGCGAGAGAGAGGGCCGGGGGAAGGAGAGAGAGAGCGAGAGAAAGCGGCAUGCGAGAGAGAGGGCUGGGGGAAGGCGAGAGAGAGAUGAAUAUAAUGCUAUUAAUUAGAUUUGGGGUUGUUGGAGGGUAAAAUUGUCAUUUUACAUAAUAUGUAGUAUUAACGGGUUUUAGUAAUGUAAGAUACACGACCCCCUUCCCGUUAAUAUUUUCAAUGUAAUCCUGCUCGAUUUGUAAUGCUACAUUAACGACUAGAUUACAUAGCGGAUUAAUCAAACACAGUUAUCUUGGCAGGAUUGUCUGUAAUCCUGCCAGGAUAACUCGAACCAAACGCACCCAAAAUGGUGAAGCACAUGUCAUUGUUUGGAAAAUAAAUUAAUGUUCUAUUAAUACAAUAAUAAUAAAGGUUAGCUCAUUUGGUUCCAUAGAAAAAUAUGAAAAAUAAUUUUUUAUAAAAAAGAGGUUUCGACGAAAAAGAAUUUACACUUCGUACUUGAUUUGCAGGAAAAAAAAUUAGUUUUCCAGCAACACUUAUUUGAUUGAAAAACUAAUUUAUGCUUUUUUCUUUUAUAGAUAUUAUAUACUAUUUAUAUGUAAUAAUUAUCAUACUAUAUAUAUUAUUAUUAUAAUUUAUAUUUGUAAAUUAAAUACAUACGAAAAUAUACUAUAGAAUAAGUGUAUAUAUAUAUAUAUAUAUAUAUAUAAAAUAAUAUUUAAUACUACAUAAAAAGAAAAUAUUAUAUGAAUAUUUAUAUAAAUAAAAAAUAUAUAUCAGCGAGUGAGGUGCACUGUGGACCUCUCACGCGGUCCAUGCUGUUGGCGCAAUUCCAUGAACAAAAGAGGUUUUUCUUUUUUCUUUUGACUUACACUACAACAGAAUUAGAUUAUAGGGACACAUGUUUAGGACACUAUUGUGUAAGUGUUACAUUUAUGUCAAAACUUAAAAAAAAACUACUAAUGCCUAAAUAUAAAGUCCAAUCCAAUCAAAAAUAAAAAGGUACUUUACUCAACCCAUCCCACCCAGUCCAUUCGGUCCGAUUACAAAUAGAAAAGAAAAAAAAAAGAAAAAGAAAAAUCGAUUACUAUUUUUUCUUCUCCCCUCACUCAGUCGACUAAAAUCCUAAACGAAGAUCCCUUCCUCUCGUCCUUCUCUGCCACCGCAGCCAACGAGAUAGAGUUUCGGCGGUUGCUAGAUGCUUAAAUAAAUGUUUGCAAAUUAGCAGCACUCUUUUUACAUUAUAGCGACACUCUUUAACUGUCACUAUAUACCUAGCGACUCCACAUAUAGCAACACCUUUUAAAAGUGUUGGUAAUUUAGCCAGUAGCACUUUUUUUGACCUAUACCGAUAUUUAAAAGUGUCGCUAUAGACCAUUUUUAUUGUAGUGUUAUUAUAGCUAAUAUAUAUAUAGUGGGCUAAUAAUUUGAUGGUUGAUAUCUGUGGCCUAAAAUUUAAAACCUGAUUAAUUACAAAAUUUCAAAAAAUUUAUAGUCAACUAAUUAAUUAUUAUCUAUAUAUUAAAUAUAAUGUUAUAUAAUUAACUUAUAAAUAACUAUAACAUUGAAAAUUAUUUUUAAUGAGAGAAAUUCUUAUUUUUAAUUUCAAUUCUCUAUAUCAUUUUUUAAAAAAUAUUUAAAAUUUUACAAAAUACUAAACUUCAAUUAGUGUCUUAACUAUAUAACCUUCAAUUACACUUUUGUGCCAACAAAAUUUUAAAUUAAAUGACGAAUUAUGAUGAUGAAGGUGAAAAAAAUACAGCGUUGCAGAGUUAAUUUUUGGAAACUAUUAAAACAAAAUUUAAAUAUACAAAAUCAUAAAAUAGAUACAUAUUAUUUGUUGAAUUGUUUGGAGUUUUCUCUUUACAAACAAAAUGCAUUUUAUUUAGAAAAUAAAAAAUUAAAGUCAACUAAUUAUUACCUAGAUAUUAAUUAUAAUGUUGUAUAAUUAAAUUAUAAAUAACAAUAAUGUAGAAGAUUAUAUUAAAUUAGAUAUUUAAAAGAUAUUUAAAAUUUUACAAAACAUUAAACUUCAAUCAGUGUCUUAAGCUUACAAAAUAUAACCUUUAAUUUUACUUUUAUACCAAAAAAAUUUAAAUUAAAAGACAAAUUUGAUCAUGAAGGAGAAAAAAAAAAUAUAGCAUAGCAGAAUUCAUUUCUCAAAAUUAGUAAAGCAAAGUUUAAAUAUGCGAAAUCAUAAAAUAAAUAAAUAUAAUUUCUUUGUAUUGUUUGGACUUCAAUUUAAAUACAUUUUUCCUUCUCUUAUGUACAAAAUAUAAUUGUGAUUUUGUUCCAAUAAACUUAUAAAUAACAUUACGAAUUUUAAUGAGGAAGCUACAAACAAAAAUGUAGUGUAGCAGAGUUAGUCUUUAAAAAUCAGUGGUGUAAAAUUUAAAAAUGCAAAAUCACAAAAUAAAUAAACAUAAUUUGUUUGAUUGCUUAGAUUUAAAUUUAAAUUUUGAUAGAUAAAGUUUAUUAUGUUAAAUUUGGUUUAGAUUUGUAGUUAUAUAAAUUGAAGAUAAAACGUAAACUAAUUAGGAUAAUAAAUAAUUCAGAUUUAAUCACUAUAACAAAAUUAGGUUAUAAGGACACAUUUUUAGAACACUUUUAUAUAAGUGUCCCAUUUAUACCCAUUUUUUUUUAAAAAAUCUAUUAAGGCCUAAGUAUAAAGCCCAAUUCAAUAAAAAAUAAAAAAUUCCUCUAUUCAACCAACCACACCUAACCUGCUCGACCCAAUUACAAAUAAAAAAGAAAGAAAAAAAAAGAAAAAUUGAUCACUAUCUCCCCUUCUCCUCCUCCGCCGUCGCAGCUGAUAAGAUAGGAUUUCGACGACUAGAGUUCGGCCGCAAGGAUCUCACACGAACCGUAGAGGAUUACAAUUGCCACGUAUUCCUCGCCACAGCUUGCUGAAGAAGUCGGUGUCAUAACGACGCCACAUAUAGCAACACUUUUAAAAAGUGUCGGUAAUUUAGACAGCAGUAUUUUUUUUGAUCUGUACCGACAUUUAAAAAUAUCGCUAUACAUCAUUUUUAUUAUAGUGAAUUUGGCAUAUAUGGAUUAUAAAUAGGAAUGUAAUUCUAAUUGAAUUAGAAUUAGACUCUAAUUUGAAAGCAUAUAUUAUAUAUACAUGUUAUGGUCAAAUUAAUGAAGUCGCGGUGACCCUAAUUAAGCCAUGCAAAUUAAGUAAGAGCAUAUCGGUAGUCCGUACGGACGGAGGAAGCCGUCCGUGCUUCUUUGGGGCUGGUGGUCACGUUGCGGCGGCGCGAUGCGCAUUGCAUAGAGAGCGGGCGAAGCCAUCUCUUUUGGAGAUCAAAUUAAAGGAGAGACCAUGCAAAUUAAUUAAGCUUUUGGGGGUCCAUCCGUACGGUUGAGGAGCAGAGCCGCCGCUUAUUUGGAGUCGCGUGUACGGAUACAGAUUUCGACGUUUCUGAUGUAAAUAGUGUUCGGAUUCUUUGAGAGAUCUUCUUUGUACUCCGCCAUUCGUACGGACUAUCAAGCAUCGGAGAAAUAGAAGUUUGAAUAUUUUCUUCAACAAACAAAAAUAUUAGAAUUUCCUUAGUUAACAAAGAAAUAAAAAACUUAAUAUUUGAUUUCUUCAUCGUCUUGGCUUGCGAGAAAAGUGGUGCGAAGAAGAUGUAUUUUUUCCAAGAAACGAAGAGGUAAAAGUUUCAGCGAAAAGAUAUCUUCUUUAAAAAACGAAGAGAUUUCUCUAAAAAAACGAAGAGGUUGAGAAGAUACAUCUUGUCCUCGAAAAAAUAAAGAGGUUGAAUAAAAAAGUGUACACUUUUAAUAAAUACAAUUAAUAAUUAUUAAAUAUAUAUGAAUUAUUUAUUUUUAUUAUAUUUCUAUUUCUUUGUAUAAGAAGAUAUUGUUACCCUAGGUAAUGACAUCAUUUAGAGCUUGAAUUUGAAGAGAAAAAAAUUUUUGGAAGAAAAUAUUCCGGAUAUUAUGUGAAUUUCAACAAAUCUAGUGAUAUUUAUUUAAUUGGUCUUCAUAUAUUUAUUAGACGGUUAGUUUUGUAAAAUUUUUUUAAAUUUUUUUUUUCUUAAUAUGUAUUUUCUGUGAAUUUUUUUAAAAAAUAAUUAUUUACUCAUAUUUGAGUGAGUUGUAUACGAUAAAAUUGUACUUGUAGUAAUCUUUUUAAUUUACUUUCAUAUUUUUCGAUGAUUCGAUAAAUUAGUUGUAUAGUAAUUUGCUUUGACUUUAUAAAUUAAUUGUCUUCUCUAAAAUAUGAUGUAAAAUACUUAAUUAAUUAUCACUUUUAUCUUGUUAUUAUUUUAAUAAAACUUUUACUUUAGUACUUGACAUUUAUUUUGUAAUAACAAAAAAUGGCUACAUCUUGACCGUUGAUAUUUUUAGGAAUACAAUCGAAAGUUUUAUUUGUUCAGCUAAUAACUGUUUUUACUUUUCUAACAAAAUUUCAUAACUCAAUUAAGAGGUACCCAUAUAAAAUAUUACAAACUAUAAACAAAAUGCACGUAAGUAUUAUAUAUAGAAAAUAUAGCAAAAUAAGAAACAUAAAUUUGAAUCAAUAAGAAGUAUGAAUUUUUCUCUAAAUUAUACUCAUCAAAAAUUUCUUGAAGACGAUGACGAAGUUUUAAUGAUGAAUAUCAUCGAGUCAAAGUUUUCUCGUCUUCAAAAAAGAAAGAUGAUCAUCGACGACAAAGACAAUGGAAUUAAAAUAAAUUUAACUCUUCUUUUAUCACUUCAUUUUAGUCCUGCUUAUUAUUUUCGUGUAUAGAUGUUCAAAUUUACGUUUUUAUUUUACUAUAUUUUCUAUCCCGUAUUUUGUUUAUAAUUUAUAAUAUUUUAUUAUUUUUUUCAAUUUGACACUACUAUUUAAAUAUAUAUUAUUUAUUUAAAUAUAUAUUACUUAUUCACUAAUUUAUUAAUUUUAUUUAAUUAUAUUAGAAAGAGUUAUAGGUGCCACCCACGUGCACUGGCUAGUAUUCUACGAAACAAUAAGCCUGGCGCACGAAUAUUGAAGCAACAGGAGGUAUAUAUGCCAACUAAUUAAUGCCGUGCUAUUAUUUAGUCUUUGGACCACACAAUUAAAAAGAUUGCAACGUUGCCCCACUAUUGGGACCAUAUUUGAGUGCUCAAUCCUCCGAACGGUACACGCAAUUUGGUCCUUCGAGAUAAGCCGCUUCACAAUUUGGUCCUUUCGUCGGGACCGCACCGAGUCGACAAGCUCUUUGCAUUCGGAAAGUAUAAGAAAGCGACGAGAACCGCCGGGUCGGAAUGUCGAGUUUAUCGUAGUAAAGAUGAUACACGCAGAAUUUUGCUGUACUGAUUGUCUAGAUUUUUACCUUCGUAAAUUUUAUGAUAAUACAUUAAUACUAAGGCCCCGUUUGGAUAUCCUUAAAAACGUAGCAUAGUUAAACUAUGCUACACCGGUAGGAAAAUAAUCCUAUGAAUCGUUUGGAAAAAAAAAAUGAUGUAAUUUUUGGAGUAUAGUUAUAUUAUACUCUAAAAAAUGAAGUAAAAUUACAAUCCACUUUAACAAAGGAUAAAAAAUUCCACCAUUUUGAGCUCCCUUACCCCAAAGAUGUAUCAAGUUUUGAAUAUUAAGUUUCAACAUAAAAUUUUAAAUUUCAAAUUUCAAAUUUCAAAUUCGAAUGUUAAAUUUCGAAUUUCGAACAUAAAAUUUAAUUUAAUUUUUUAAGUUUUUAAAUUUAAAAUUUAAUUUUUAAAAUUUUAUUUUUAAAUUUUGAAUUUAUAAUUUUAAAAAUUUAAUUGUUAUAAAUUCUAUAAAAUUGUACGAUAUGUAUCCAAACAGUUUAAAAAUGAAGUAUGAAAUUUUUUUGUAGUCACAGAAUUCCGCAUUUCAUUUAGACCAAAACCACAUAAUGAAAGUUCUAUGAAAUUUUUUAACUAUAUAUCCAAACAGGGCCUAAGUGUUAAUUAUUCUGAAUCAAUCCCUUUGUGGUACUUUGGAUUGUUAACUUUUGCGGCCCCAAUUAUGUGACAUAUUCUAUGAAAGGAUUGAAAUGAUAAAAGAUGCGAAUUGAUCUAAUUCCAUGUACAUAUUUAAUUAGUAGGUGGAGUGUGUCAUGCAAAGUUUCAAAAGCACAUGGACCCAUUUGCAAUUAUUGGAGGUGAGUCCAUGGAAAGAGAUUAUAAAAAGACAAAUUAUUGAGAGAAGAGUGUAUUAUUUUGCUUGGAAUUAUUUACACCUUAAAUGUCGAUUCAUGCAUUUUUGGUGGGCUUUUCUUUUCAAUUUGUCUUUCUCAUGGUAUGACAUAUUUUCAUUUUUGUCAAUUCGUGAUUUAAAAAAUUUUACUUAACUAUCCUGUAAUUUUAUUCUUAUUCCACUAUAAGAUCGAGCUUAUUGUGAAAUGGAAUACCAUCUUGUAGUUUUAAAAAAUUUUACUUUAUAUCUUAUUUAAUAACAGAUUUGUUGGAUGAUACAAAAAAUGAAACUACAGAAUAGUAGUUAAGUAAAAAUUACACCCAGUGAACAAUUUGGGUUUGAUAUAUACAACCUAGACUAGUAUGAACCAAUUCAAUGUGUUCCUAACUAGGUUUAAGAUUGGGAAAAUCCUAGUUAAUUUAGACCCAAUUAGGAUUGUGUUUAACUGACCUCAAAGUGUAAUUAACAUGAAACCUACUCCAAAUCAAAGCAACUCAAAGUAUCUUAACAUACAUGUGCUUAGAAAUUUCAACUGCACAGAGAAUAUUUGCAGGAAACAUAUUAUUCUAUUUGAACUUUUUUGUUUUGAAGGGUACAAUUAUAACAUUAUUAUUUUGAAAGGUACAAUUAUAACAUUGUUAAUUUCUUAUCUUCUAUCUAAGACCAUACACAUAAAUUUUAUAGUCCCUGGUCUCUGUCAGAUAUCAAGCCAAUUCGCCCUUGCCAACCUGAUGAUCAUUGGCACAAUUAAACAAAGGCAUAGUUGGCCAAAAACUUAAGAAAUUAAGGAGUAUAAGACUUUACAGUUUUAAACAUUCGAUUAGAUUAUCAUUAAUUGGCUAUUAAGAUGAUCCACCUACCCUAUGGUGUAUAUAUAUAGUUUGUAUGGUAUCCGGUCGAAAAAUAUAAAAAUACUAUCCGCUUCACCUAUAAAACAAUUAAAUUAUAAACUUCAAAUCUCAGAUACCAGUCAUCAAAUUUGUUGUCACUUGCGCUAAAGACAGUCGUUUUAUUUAUUUAUUUUUUUUGAGAAAAAAAUAGCACGCUACCUACUUCAUUCAUCAAGAAAGAUGAACUAAACGUACAAGCUGGAAGCAGCUAAAGCUUUCUGGGCAAAACAAGACAGAAAAUAAAGCAAGAGUAAAAUAAAGAAGGAAAGAAGGUCAGAAGAAAAAAAGAAAAAAGCGCAAGUUAACGAGUUACAGGAGCGAGAUCCAGGAGUUCGACAGGGUUACGACUCUAUCCAAUGCUCAGAUGGUCGUUUUAUUUUAAGAGAAUUAAUUAGAGUUAGAGUCAAGUUUUGAAUUCUAUUUUUUAAUAUUAAGGGUAGAAAUAAGAUCUUACUAUGUUAUUAUCUAAUAAUAAUAUGUUUAGGAUAAGCAUUGUUAGAUAAUGGUUUAUUAGUUGUACGAGUUUGACAGUGUUGUAGAGAUGACGUCGGAUGAUGGAUUAAUUUUCGAGUCUAAUAAAUGUAUGACUAAUGCAAAUAAUAAUGCUCAUGCUCAUAACACAUUAGUUUUGUGUUUUUCCUUUUUUUUUUUUUUUUUCUUCCUCUCUAUCUCUAAAACUAUGGUGAGAGAGAGAACACCAGUUUCAAAACAAAACAAAACAAAAAAAGAAAAAGAAGAAGAAGAAGAAAACAGUGCUAAUAUUACUUCCCAGUUUGCACAUAGACACUAAGCUACCGUUUGGUUCGGGAUUAAGGAAAAACUAGUUAUUCCAGGAAUAGGGUUAAGUUUAGGGUUAAGAUGGGGUUAGAAUAUUUUUGUAUUUGGUUGGGAAUUGGAGUUAGUCCAGAAUAGUGAAAAAUAGUAUUUAGUUGGUGGGAUAAGAAAGAUAGUAGAUUAUUAUGAAUAGAAAAUAAUAUUUGGUUGAAAUUUGAUGAGAUUAUGUGGGAUUAGCUAACCCGGAAUAACCCAUUUGAGGUGAAGUUAGCUAACCCCACCCAUUUUUAGAAGUAUUUGAAGAUAAAAUGGGAGUUAAGAGGUUAUUCCACCCCUUAACUCCCAACGGAGGCUAAAAUAUUAUUCCACUUUUUAUUUAUGAUAAAGUUUGACGUCAGUUUCCACUAUCCGAAAAGUUUUUCAACGUUCAUAAAUCAAAUAAAAUUCGGGAUUCAUUGCAUUUAGCCUAUGUAUGUGAUAAUAAAAAUGUAGGAUCAAAUGCAUACAACUAUCUACAAAUAUAAUAAGUUACCAAUAUAUUUUUAUAAAAUUUAAUUUUCAUAUUUAUUUUUAUAAAAAUUUUAAUAUAUUAAAUAUAUUCUUUUAAUUUAUUAUUAUUAAAAAAAUAUUUAUAUUUUAAGAGCAAAUAAGUAAAACGUCAAUUUUGCAAUUACAAAUAUGUUCUUUCGAAAAUCACAAUAAUAUAAUAUAAAAAAAUAAAAAUAUUAAAUUAUCUCGUAAAUUAAUCAGAAUUAAAUAUUUAAUUUAUAAUUAGUUAAAUUUUUUUAGCGAAUCUAACCGUCAAUAUAUUUUAAAAAUAUUAAGACUUUUAUAAAUUGAAUAUUAAAAUGGUGGUGGAUGAGAAAGGACAAAAAAAGCACUGCCAUGAAAAAGGGCAUCGUACACGAAAGCGGCAGGACGAUAGUAACAAAUGUAAAUGGUGUUACGCAGAUGGGUCCAGCCGCAGAAUCAGAGCCGACCGGCUAUAAACUGACCCGCCCCCAACACACCACACAUUACAGCAGGGGUCAGCCGAACACGACAAAACUAGCUAAUAGCCGCAAAACAACAAUUUUAUAAUUAUUAUGAUUUUAAGGUUCUCCGAAAUAUAUUAUUAUUAUGCUAGAGGAGGAGGAGGAGUUAAACGCACAAUUCGAUCCCUCCUUUUUCCCAAUUUUUCUCAUUAUUUGUUUUUUCUAAUUUUAUUAGAUUCUAAUCUUUUAAUUCCAUAAUUAAACUACCCUAAUAUUUAUUAGGUAUCUGUCAUCACCGGCAAAGAAAAUUCGUUAUACCAAAUGAGAAUCGGGCGCUGUCGGCGUGUGGGCUGGAACAGUUCUGCUUUAUGCAUUCCUUUUUUUUUUUUUGGGUGUGAUGAUGCUAAACCCAAAAAAAAAAACAAAAACAAAAAAAACUCCUGCACAGGAGAGUGAUCUGGGUCAUAUAUAUAUAUAUAUAUACAUGAUACAUCCAAGAUAUAUAUUUCAUACUGAUCCGGCGAACAAUUCUUGUUAUUACGAUAAGCCAAAUUUUUGCUCGGAAAAUAGAAAGUACGUACUCAAUUACAAGAAUUAAGGAGAAUGGAUAAAACAACGGACAAAGAUUGAGAGCAAUAAUGGUGCAACAAACGCAAUUAAAAGAGAAACCUGAAUAAUGCACAACCAACGGGCAGCCCGCUGCUUGAAACAGUGGUCUAGACGGUCGCGGCGGUUGGAGGGGCGGCGGAGUCGGAGGAGCCCCAGACAAUGUCUCUGAGGGCGGGCUGGAGCUCCUCGGCGCAGAAGUGGCGGUAGUCGAGGGCGUCGCCGGCGUCCUUCUUGACCUCGACGACGAGCACGGACGGGGCCACCGCGAAGAUCUCGGCGGCCACGGUGAGCCUUCCCUUGCGGCCCUUGUCCUGCCCGCCCUCCAGGCGCACCCCCGCGGCGCCGCUCCGCGUCACGCGCGCCGUCCCGCCCAUCCGCGCCGCCACCCCCUCCAGCCGCGAUAUGACCCCGCUCGCCGUCUCCCUCGUGGCGAACCGCAUCGUGCCCCGGCCCUCCUCCCGCCCCUCCUCGAACAGCCGCGACAGGUCGAACCCCUCCGACAGCGAUAUCAGAUGGAACGCGUUCAGCGUCUCCGGCUCCUCCUUCUCCUUCUCCUUCUCCUUCUCCCGGUCCUUGUCCUUGUCCUUGUCCUUGUUCUUGUCGAAUAAUUCUGCAGCGUCCUUGGCGGCCGGUCGGAUCGGGACGGAGGGCGAGGACGACUUCUUGAGCCAGGGCGAAUCGACGAGCUUGGCGACGGUGAUGCGGGUGGCGGGGUUGGGGUCGAGGAGGCGGGUGAUGAGGCGGCGGGCGUCGGAGGAGAACCAGGGCGGGCAGCGGAAGUCGCCGCGGUGGAUCUUCUUGUACAUGGCGACGAGGUUGUCGUCGUGGAAGGGGAGGAAGCCGGCGAGGAGGACGAAGAGGAUGACGCCGCAGGACCAGAGGUCGGCCUUGGCGCCGUCGUAGCCCUUCUUGCCGAUGACCUCCGGGGCGACGUAGGCCGGGGUGCCGCAGGUGGUGUGCAGGAGGCCGUCGCCGCGGACGUGGGCGGCGAGCGCGCUGAGGCCGAAGUCGGCGACCUUGAGGUUGCCGGCGUCGUCGAGGAGCAGGUUCUCGGGCUUGAGGUCGCGGUGGUAGACGCCGCGCCCGUGGCAGAAGUCGACGGCGGAGAUCAGCUGCCGGAAGUAGCCGCGCGCGGCGUCCUCGCGGAGGCGGCCGGCGCGGGCGAUCCGGGCGAAGAGCUCGCCGCCGCGGACCAGCUCCAUGGCCAGGUAGAUGCGGGAGCGCGUCGCCAUCACCUCGUGCAGCUCCACGAUGUUCGGGUGGCUCACCAUCUUCAUCACCGCGAUCUCGCGCUUGAUCUGCUCCAUCAUCCCCGCGCGGAUCACCUUCUCCUUCGCCACCACCUUCAUCGCCACGCUCCGCCCCGUGCGCACGUCCCGCGCCAGGUGCACCUUCGCGAAGUUCCCCUGCCCCAGCACGCGCCCCACCUCGUACCGCCCUUCCAGCACCCCGCCCCCCACCUUCGCUACAUCCCCCGCCUCCUCCAUGCCUCGCUAGCUGCGUUCGACGACGUCUCUCUUUCUCUCUUCCCCUCCCCUCUCGCGAGCUAGACCUAGACCUAGACCUAGACCUAGACCUAGCUUCCGAUCGAUCGAUCGAUCGAUCGGAGACCAGGGAACUGGACGACGAAAAUUAAGAAGAGCACGUACGUACGCACAAGAAGAAGACGACGACGAUGCUGACAGACGACGAAUCAGCUACCCGUCUUCGACGUGCUUGCGGUGGCAGCUGCGGCCGCCGUGCUUCUUCCGUUUCCCGGCGAGAUCAGGGCUCGAUCUCCUCAUCCUGAUGCAUUCCCUGGAGAAAACCCUAACCGCAGAAGCAAGGAGAAUAAGAAGAAUAAGAAGAAGACGACGACGACCACAGUGGCUCAGGAAAGGAAAAAAAGACAGAGAGAGAAAGAGGAGUUAGGGUUGUGCAAAACAGAGUCGCGAGUGAUUCGAAAGGCGACCGUGUAUGAGACCUCCUCAUGGGGUUUAUAUGGCAGAGCUCGGGCAGAGCAAAAUGACGAAACCGCCCACGGAGAAAUGCUGAGAGCGAGAGAGAGGCGGUUUCGGUGAGCCCCGGAGACGGGAUCGAACGGUCCGUGCGCAAUGUAAGGGGCGCGUGUCGCUCUGCGGUUGGCGGGUGGCGGCGACGGUUGAGAUUUAACGUGUCCGAAGGCGUAUAGCUGUUGCUGGCUCUGCUAUCGACUGUGGAUACACUGGAUACAGCAGGACAUGAACGGCGGUAGAUCGAUUUCGACGGCUGUGAUCGCUUCCAUCUUCGUUUGGCGGUGCUUCCGAGGAGCCGCGGCAAAAGCGCGAGCGAGCGCUUUAAACUUUCCAUUUUUCACUUGUUACACUGACAUGUGGGGCCCACUUAUGGUCCACGUGGCAGCACUACAGUCGUUGUAUACAGUCGUUGCACGGGUCAUGGUUCGAAGUUGAAUUCACUCUCGUGCGGAUUAAAAACACAAACACAAAAGCUUCCUCAGAUAUUUUGGUUGACCAAAUUUGACCAAAGUUAUAACUAUAUAUAUAUUACUUUGUUGGAAUAGUCUCCCGAGAAAUAUUUUUUCGAUUGAACCUUGUUAAUUUCAAGUUAUUUCAAUUCACCAAAUUUUAGUUUGUGGAAUCAAAAAGUUAUUAAAUUUAAUAAGUAGUUAUCAAUAAUUAGUGAACUAAUUAAUUUUAUAAAGUUUAAUUUGGAUUCUAAUUUCAAAAAUUAAAUCAAACUAAAUAAAAAUUAAAAAUUAAUAAAAAAAAUUUAAAUUUAAAGCCCUUCUCAAAAUAGCUUAUAAUGCAACUGUGGGACAAAUACUUAACAAAGUAAACCAAAAAGAUCGAUAAUGCAUAAUACCAUCGAGUCCAGCAAGCAGUUUGCAAUACUUUUGGAAAGCCUAGAUCGAAGCCCCAAAUGCGCAGAAUAAUCAAUAAAAAUGUCUUUCAUUAUGGUAUUCUAGCUGUACACAUACAUUCACAUCGCCUAUCCAGCUCUCUCGCAUAUACAAUGAAAACUUUGUAUACGAUCCCUCAAAAUAUUUUCAAACAAACUCAAAGGUCCUUUCUCUAGCCCGAUAAACUAUCCAAUAAGAGAUUGUGGGACGCGUUUGAACAUUGAGGACUUGUUUGGUUUAAGGGUGAAAUUGGAUUGGAUAAUAGAACGAAAAUGAAUUGGAAUGGUAAUUGAAAUAACCCACUUUUCCAAAACGUUUGGUUUAUUUGUGGAUUGGGAAUUGGAAUAAGUUAUUCACAUUUCAUUGUUUGGUUUGUAUAAACUAAAAAAAUUAUAGAAUACUAUAAUGCUAAUUUUACUCUCAAAUAUAAAUUUAUAUUAUUUAAAAUUUAUGAAAAAUAUAAUACUAUUCUCUAAUAAGUUUUUCAAAAAAAUAUCAAAUUUAUUUUUAAAAAUUUUUAUUGAUGUGGGUUAGGGAUAGAAUUUUGAAAGACGAUAUGUUUUUUUUUUUUUUGAUGAGAAAGGGGUGAAAAGAAGGAGGGUGAGAUGGUCACAUGGGUUUCGAGAAUUUAGUGAGUCUCUGGAAUGAAAUCUCAAUCCGGGCUAGAAGACCGGAAUCAAGUUAAAGGCUAAUAGGCCAUUCCCAUUUCAGUCCGGAAUAGAAAUCCCAAAUCGAUUCAUACAAACCAAACAAAAUUAAUCGGAUUUGAUCAAACCGAUUUUCAUUCUAUACAAAAAAUGGAUGAACCAAACAAGUCCUGAAUAUCAAUUAUUAUUAUUUUUCAACAUGUACGUCUCGUUUGCCCAUCAUCUAUUCUCAAUUGACAGUGGGGAUAGAUUCUUCAUCGUCAUUCCUAUGUGCCAUACUUCCUAUUGUCCGGCUACAGGUGUGUUUGGAAAUAAAUUUUUUUUAUCUACCAAUGCUUGAGUCUUGACAAGUUACACACCUUGAUUUGCUAUAACCAAUUGUCGAAAAUGAAUCUCACUAUUAUUUUUUAUCAUUACACUUUAUGGGGUCGUAUUCAAAACUUCUUUUCAUAACAUAGCAUUUUAGGGCACUCUUUUAAGUCAGCUUGCUAAUUAUAAAUUUGGCCCUUAUGCAAAUAAUCUACAUUUACAAUAGAUUUUGUAGACGGCUUUCAGAGUUAUUGGGAAUCCGGUACUCGCCCCGGUAUCGGAUUUUGUGAAUCCGCAAUCCGCUCUGAUACCGACUGUUGUUGAUCCGGUACCUAUUGUUGGGAUUUCGCAACGGAAGCGUCAAAUCGAAUUUUUACCAUAAACCCAUCUCCUCAGCAAAAGCUAAUACAAUUAUAAAAGAGAGAAAAAUCAAAAUAGAAAAUAUACGAGUAAAAUAAGAUUCAUUAAAUAAGAGAAGAAUAUACCUGACUCUUAUUCUACAAGAGAGUAGCUACAAUCCGAGCCCUCUUUUUGAAUCUCUCUUACCCUUCUCUAGUCUUCUAUAAAUUCAUAAAGAAGACAACUCUCUCUUUUUCUCUCUCACAUGCACCCAUGCACUAGGUGCAUGCAACUCAUGGCCAAGCUUCUCUUUGGUACGGUCCACCAAUGGCUUCAAGACAUCUCACCGUACCCUCCUCAAGAAUCUCAACUUGGUUGUACUCUCUACUCCAAAAGCAUCCCAAAGUGUGCUUUUGUAAUGCAUCCUCUAAAACAUACAUGAAUCCUAGUCCAAUUAGAAUUUCUACUCCAAUAAAUAUUUAAAUCUUAAUUGAUUUAUCUCCAACAAAUUUUAAUAUUUAUCUGAAUCUAGUUAGAUUUAAAUCAUAAUUUAUCUCCAACGAAUUUAAAUAUUGUUUCUUAUCCAAUUAGAAUUAAUCUACAAAUCUAACCAAAACCUAACAUGGAGUAGCGUAAUUGACUAUGCGGUCCUCUUCCAUCACUUCAUCACCGAAUUUGACGACUGAGGUGUCUACUCGUUGAGGUUGGCUAAACCCAAUUAAGAACAUCCAUCGCCUUAUACGUUUGAGCACAGUGGAUAGAGAAGGAGACAACAAUACGGAGACUAUCGUUGCAAUCCAUCUCUUAUUUUAGAUCAAUGUUACAGAUAGCACUGUCAUCAUUGACCGCGUCGUUGAUGAAGAUAGGAUGACAGAAUUUGCAGUUUCGAUGCAAAGAAAUUGCUGCAACAAAUGAUUUGAUAAAACAAAAUAUAACGAUGUUGUGUAAUUUAUCGAUGAAACAGUGUAUUAUAUGCUAUAAUGGUGCAAAAGUUUUGUAAAAAAAAAUGCAACUCAUGUUCCAAUUAUGUCAACAUUCGAUCGGUUAAGUGAACAUGCAUUUGCAAACUUGUUGUUUAUUAUCAUUUCUAGUUGUUCGUCGGUCAGUGCCUCAUUUAUCUCGUCUGCCUCACAUGCAGGAAUCUCACUCUCAUUGCUAAUUUUUAUAGCAAAAAUGGAACUACAAUAAGAAGUUUAAUGGUUGUGAAGAGAACUUUAUAUAAGUUUGUUGAAAAUGUAUAUAUAGAGACCCCUCGACUUUAAACUUUUGAUGGAGACCCUACUUAACUUUUACUCUUUAAGAAUUAAGUUAUUUUAGUGAAAAAUAUUAAAGAUUUCAUCAAAUUCAUAAAAAAUUUCAUCAAAUUUAAAUUUUUUAAUAAUUAUUAGACAACAAAAUAAAAAUAAUUAACAAUCAAUUACUGAUAAAACUACAAAUAUCAACAAAGUUUUGAACGAAAUUAACUAGAAUAACUCAAUUAAAAAAAAAGAGAAUCUUAAUAAAAAAAAAAUUAAGUUGACCAAACUAUUUUAAGACAGCCUAUAGUUGAGAAGAAGUUCAUACAUUUAUACUAUAAUUUUUGAACAUGAGAAAUUCUACUUAUAUACCCAAAAAGAGUAGUGUAGAUCUUACACACCUGACUCUAGAAUUCACAAAAUUCAAUUAGUUUUUAAUAUUUAUUUUUAAAAAAAAUGAACAAGAUAUGAAGGCAUUAUUAACUGUUAGAUUAAUGGACUGUAAAAUUUUACUCACUUCAAUUUUGAGGUGCAUGUACAAAUAAUAUUACUCUUUUUUUUUUUGAGAAUAAGAUAGCACGUUACUCGCUUCGUUUAUUAAUAAUAAUAAACCUAGCUACGUAUGUAAGGCAACUAGCUAGGCCUCAAUAAUAUUACUCUUUGAGCCAGAGAAAUUCUAUCUAUACAUUCCAAAUAAAGGUGUACAUUGUACGACCCCUCGUCCAAGAGUUGAAACUUAUCUUUUAUCUUGUCAAUUUAUAUUUUUUACUUUUAAAAAUAUAAAAAUAUUCUAAACUCUCAUCAUAAUAGAAUUAAGUUAUAAGAAAAUAUAUUUGGAAUACAUUUAUAUAAGGUCUAAAUAUAAAGUCCAAUUCAACCGAAAAUAAAAAGUUCCUCUAAUUAACCAAUCCCACCUACCCCACAUGGCCCGAUUACACAUAAAAAAGAAAAAAAAAUUUCAUCACCGUCUCCCCUUAUGCUCCUUCGCCGCCGUAGCCGACGAGGUAGAGUUUCUGCAGUUCAGCCGCGAGAAUCUCGCAGAGACAAUAGAGAAUUACGAUCGCCAUGUGUUCCUCCGUCACAGGUCGCUGGAGGAGUGGGUGUCAAACAUCAAGGCGAUCUCACAUAUAACGACCCCAUAUAUAGCAAUACUUUUAAAAAGUAUCGAUAAUUUAGCCAAUAACAUUUUUUUUUAACUGUACCGAUAUUUAAAAGUGUCAUUAUACAUUUUUUGUUGUAGUGUCUGUAAUGAGAGAGUGCAAGAUGUACACCCUUUUUAAAAUAUACAAAUAAUAUUUCUCAAUAAAUUUUUUUUUCAAUUUCGAUACAGUUAAUGAAAACAAAUAAAAAAGAAAAGAAAAAAAGAUUAUGUUCUCUAUCAUUCACGCGGUAUCAAGAUUCAUACAAUUCACGUGAUAAAGGGUGAGUAAAAAAAGUCUUACAUUCAUACUGUUCCCAUCAAAUUUUGAUUCAAUGAGAAGAAGAAGAAAGAGAAGAAGAAUAAGAAGAUGAUGAUGAUGAUGGCUGCAGAGAAAGACGCCUUCCCGUUUGUUUGAGGAUGAUGGCUGCCGGGUGACGACACGGAGGUCUCCAGUCACCUCAACCUCCCUUUCUCCAAGCCCCGAUCACGUGCACCGCACGUGGGCCAAAAGCCAUUUAGAAGUUCCAGGUUUGGACGGCUUUUGGUUUAAUUUCUCCUCGUGAGCGUACCCGGACUGACGCUUUUUUUGAUACUAGUACAGCGCCCACGCUAUACCACUAAUAAAAAUAGUUUAACUGAUUAUUUUAACAGAUUAUUUCUAAUGCAAGUGAUAAAAAAUUUAAUAAUUAGUAUCCCAAAUUUCAAAUUUGAAUGCUAGUUAAUUCACAUUUUCAGCUAAAUUUAUUUCUAAAUAAAAUAAACGAAGCGGAUAACAUGCUACAUAUCUCUCAAAAAAAAUAAAAUAUAGAUAGUUUAAUCAAUUAAUAUAAAUAUAGAGUUAACCUGAUUAUAAUAUUUUUAAUAAAAUCAAGGAUUUAGUGUUAUUAAGUUUUUCAUUAUUAAGUCUACUCUUUGAUCAAUUCUAUAUCUUAGAUCGUGGUAUUUUACUAAUCAUCCAUUAAAUCUUAAGAAGACCACCACUAAAUUCUAGAGAACUACUAUUAGUCCAACUCUAUAAUUUUUUUAUUCAAGAAUUAUAAAUUUAAUAGUAAAAGUUCUCAAAUACUAUUAAAAGUAUAGACUAUAUAUAGAGAGAAAGAGAGUAGAGUUUCUAUGCUUUCGGAAGUAUAAGAGAGCUCGUGCUUUCAAUUUUUUGGCCAUUUCAUCAAUCCCUUUGAUCAUUUAUGAUCUUUGGAUUAAUAUUAUUAUUCUAGCAAGACCGCUCAAUUUUAGGGGGAUCAUUCAACUCUAAAUUUUAUAUAUAUAUAUAUAUAGAGUUGAGCUAGAAUACUAUCGGUAGCAAACGAGCUCCGUUGCCACCCAUUUGUUUUCGAUGAUGGAGCCUCCAAAUCGACGAUCGGCAUCGUUGAACAUGAUCUAUACCAUUUGAAGUGUUUAGAAAUCAAAUUUCAAACCUUUUCGACAUCAUUUGCCUAAUGAUCAAAGAGUUUCAAAAUUUAUAAUUUUAAUGGUCGAUAUGAGGCGUUUUCUCGUUUAACGGUGUAAAGAUAUCCAAAUCAAUUGAAUUUUUGUUAGAAAAUUCUUUAAACUAUUUAAAAUAAGAUCUAAACUCUUGAUCUUGACUACAAGACUCCUAUCAUCAUUUUUUAAAGAAUAUUCAUUUUCAGCCAUUCGUUUUUGUGUCCACCGAUGGAUAAGAGAACAAUAUCGAAAAUGUAUGAAAUUUGAUUUCUAAACACUUCAAGUGGUAUAUAUCAUGCUCAACGGUGCCGAUCGUCGAUUUGGAGGCUCCAUCUUCGAAAACAAAUGAGCGGCCACGGAGGCCGUUUGCUACCGAUAGUAUUUUAGCUCAACUCUAUAUAUAUAUAUAGUAGGGCUACUAUACUGUAAUGAAUAUUGGACCCUUUGUACUCAUAAGUUGUAUUCGGUGAUGGAGCUUUCGAAUCGACGAUCCACUCGGUUAAAUAUGAUCUAGAGUAUUUGAAACUUGUAGAAAAUAAAUUUCGUAAUUUUUCGAAAUCAUAAUAAAGUCCAUCAAGCAGGUAUAAAAUGAACGGUCAAAAUCGAAAGAUGUCUUAAAAAUGGAUGAUCGGAUUCUUCAAUUUAAGAUCGGAGUUAUUGAUCUUUAUCUAGGUAGUGAAUAGAAUUUUCUAUCAAAAAUUCAAUCUAUUCAGAUUCUUUUGCACCGUUAAACUAGCAAGUACUCCAUACCAGCCAUUAAAAAUUGUCAAUUUUGUAAGCUUUUGAUAGUAAGGUAAAUGAUGUCAAAAAAUUAUAAAAUUUGAUUUCUAGAUGUUUCAAAUGCUCUAGAUAACGGUUAACAGUGUGGAUCGUUGAUUCGAAAGCUCUAUCAUCGAAAACAACUUAUGAGUACGAGGACGAUCGUACUUAUAAUAGUAUAAUAGCCGAACUAUAUAUAUAUAUAAACUAGAACACUAGUAACAGCACUAAGUCAUUGGUACUAUUAGAAUUUUGGCUCUAUGAAGAGGUAUACGAUUAAGAUGAUAAUAAUUUUUAAAGGUUAAUAGGUAACUGAUGGAAUAGUUUAAAACGGUCAAAGAGGCAAGAUCUAACGGCAAAAAAAAAAAAACCAGUGAAAUAGGGCUUUAAUUGCAUUACAUAAUGAGCAAGAAAAUAUAUUGGUGAUAAGGAGGUGCCCACAUAACAAGACAAAGAAAGGGUAAGCAAUGUUAUUACUGUCCUUCUAUAUUUGAUGUCUGUUAUUUAGCUUUUCAACUACAGUGCUUCUUUAUAAUUUCUUGAUAGUUUUGUCAUAUUAUGUGAUGGAUAAGACUUGUCUUCAAGUUGCUAGAAAAUAAAACAGAAAUCGACUCCAUUCAGAUGCUUCUAAUCUACUAAAGUUAAUUAAAAAAUUCACACAAAGUAUUAAUCAAUUUGCAUGGUUAUGGUUAAGUUAAUUUAAAACGGUACAAAAUGUUUGGUAUUAUAGAUAGCAUUUUAGCUGGACUAUCUCUCUCUUUCUCUCUCUCUCUAUCUCUCUCUCUAUAUAUAUAUGAUUAUACAUUAAAAGUUUAAAUUUUUUUAAAAAAAAUUGUUACUAAAAAUAUAAAAAUAUAUCCUAUAAAUAGCCUUAUGUGUAUUAUAAAAAACCUAACUGGUAUUAUUUCAGUCAAUUAAUUAUAUCUAUAAAUAUCAAAAAAAUAAGAAGGAAGAAGCUGUAACCAAAAAAAUAUAAAACAAACAUCCUAUAGAAUAGUCUUAUUUAUAUUAUAAGAAAUUUAAGUACAACAUAUUUAAUUAGUAUGCAUAUAGAAAGUUCACUUGACAAAAUAUAUAUAUAAAACUAGACUAGAAUACUAUUAAUAACUCCAAAUCACAGGUGCUAUUAAAUUUUUGCCAUUGGAUGAAAAGGUGUGCGGUUAGGAUGAUAGUGACCUCCUAUAAUUAAGUGGGUGAGUGGUUGAAUAGUAUGAUUUAAUCGGUGGGUGAGUGGUUGAAUAGUAUGGUCAAAGAAAUAGAUCCAACAGUAAAAAAUUUGGUAGCACCAAGUGCUUGAAGUUCUCGAUAGCAUAGUAGCCGAGCUCUCUCUCUCUCUCUCUCUCUCUCUCUAUAUAUAUAUAUAUAUAUAUAUAUCAAAAUUAUUUUUUCGAAUAUGCUCGGUAUUAUAACAGAGCAUUCUGAGCAGCAAAAAUCAAUACUCACUUUGUAGUCCAGCACAAAUUGCGCACAAUUAAUCAACCAUCAUAGUUACAAUUAUUUAUUUUUUAUCGUUUAAAAAAUUAAAACAUACCGUGAAGCUAAUUUAGGAAAUUAGAUGAAACACAUUUGCGCCUUUAUUUAUUAAAAUGAAAUACAAUCAUUUUCUUUUCAAGGAGUGCCUAAAAAAGAAAAAAAGGAGAAAGAAAAACUGGCAAGAGCAAUAAAAUAAAUGUUGGUAAUUUAUCUUUGUAUCUCAAAGUUUAAGCCAUUUUCACUUUCUCUCUCCUCAAUAUUUAUUUUGGUAGAGAGAAGAUUAUGGACCCGUUUGGCCUAAAUUCAGGAAAAAUAAUUUCUAUAUAAUUGAUUUUGGUUUGAAAAAUUGAUCUUGAUUAAAAGCUGUAGAGCCUUUGACUAAGUUUAGAUGGAAAGUGAUUUUUCUGAUAUGAUUUUAUAAAAACUGUUUAGCUAAAAAUUUUUGAUGUUUGCAAUAAAUAAUAAUUUUUUACUAAAUUAUAUUUUGAAAUAAUUUAAAAAUUGAAUGUAAAUUUAAAUUUAAAAAUUGAUAUUCUAAUUAAAAUAUAAAUUAAAAUUUUAAAAAUUAAAAUUUAAAAUUUGAAUUUUCCAAUCUAAAUUUAUAUUUUUAAUUUCAAAUUUAAAAUCUAAGUUUGAAAUUUGAUAUUUUAAAUUUAAAAUUUGAAUAUUUUAAAACUAAAAAUUCAAAAUUAAAAUUUAAAAAUUUAAAAAUUUUAAUUUUGAAUUUUUAAGAUUUAAAAUUUUUAAUUUGAAAAUUAAAAAAUUUAAUUUUAAAUUUUAAAUUCUAAAAUUUCAAAUUUUAAAUUUUAUGUUAAAUCUUUAGUUCGAUAUUUAAAAUUUUGAAUUUUGAAAUUUAUAAUUUAAUAUCUAUUUAUAAUUUUAAAUUACAAAAUUUAAAAUUUGAAAGUCAAAAUUUAAAAUUUAAAGCUUUAAAUGUAAAAUAUCAACCUUAAAAUUAAAAUUUGAAUCUAAUAUCAAAAUAAAAAUUAAUAUUUGAGUUUAAAAUCAGAAUCAGAUUUUGAAAACGAAGUUUCCAAACCCUCUAUUGAGCCAAAAAUUAAUUUAAAUCGAAAAUCGCUUUUCAAAAACUAUGCCAAACAUCCACUAUAAUAAUGUAAACGUUUUAGCCAUUGUGGAGAUUCUAUAACAUCUGAGAAAGAGGAAAAAGGUUUAUGAUUUUAUAAUAUUUUAGAUUAUGAAGAUUUUAUAAGAUAUGAGAGAGAGUAGGUAUUAUAACUUCAUAUGGACAUAAGAGAGAGAUAAGGAUUUCCUAGAAUAUAAGAGAGAGAGAGAGAUGGUAUUAGCUGCAUAUGGACAUAGGAGAGAGAUAAGGAUUUCCUAGAAUAUGAGAGAGAGAGAGUGAUGGUAUUAGCUGCAUAUGGAUAUAAAAGAGAGGUAAGGAUUUUGUAAGAUAUGAGAGAAAUACAAAUUUUAUAAGAUACAAGAGAGAAAGAGAGAGACGUAGCAUGGGAAGAGGAAAAGAGGAUACAGGGAAAGGGGAGAGGAGAGGGAGAUUGGUCUUUUAUUAGGGCUUAAUAAUUGCAUGGGAAAAAUGCUUGCCAACUCAAAUCCUGAAGUUAAUGGAGAUGGUGGCCAUUUGGAACAGGCAAAGGAGAACUUGCAAACUCAAAUUCUUUCAAAGCAUGUUUGGUUCGCGUUAUUUAAUAUUAUAGGUUAUUUCGAUAUAACCAGCUGCUUGAGAUUUUUGAAUUAGAUUAUUACUGAUAUUGCAUUAUUGUGUUUGAUUUUUAAUACAGUAAUAUAAUGUUAGAGUAUGGUGUAUGUAAAAUUAUCAUGUUUGGUUUAUUUUAUAAAAUUUAGUAAUAUUAACAAUAAAGUAUAACUUAUUCCAAAUUUUUUUACUAAAUUGGAUCUCAGAUCGUUUGAUUUGCUACUAAAAUUUAAUCCAAAUCACCAGAAUUUAUUAACAUGAGAAAAGCAAAUCUUGGAAAAUAGGAAAUAUAAUAUCUAAUCAAAUUGACCAACAUGGCACCUACGAUUAAAAAACAAGAGAAUCUUGUGACCAUUGAGCUUCAACAAAAGCCUCAUUUUUUUUUUUUCUGCAAAUGGUAAUGACUCUUAUCUAUAUAAAAAACAAAACAUCAGUUUACAAAAAUAGAUGUCCCCAUCCCCGUGUUAGUCCAAUUAAUAUACACUGUAUCAAUUAAUAAUGCUAUGUGUACACUUUAUUUUACGGCGUGUGUGUCUUACACUCUCUGAUACACUCUAUGAGAUAAGAGUUUUUAAAUUUUAAAGAACUUUUAAGAUUAAAUAAAGUAAUAAGACAAGUGAGCUAGAUAGUAAAAUUUAUACCUGCAGAGUAAGUGUACAGGUACGUAGUUUCGAUAUUUUUACUAAAUAAACUUCUAUGUAAUUUCCACGCGCGUGCUCCUUUUUCUUUUCUUUUCUUUUUUUUUUUUUUUUUUUUUUUUUUUUUUUUUUUUGUCUACAGGAUUGGGGUCAGAGUGACACAAUCAUACAAACAAUUAUAUGGUUGUCGAAGUAUUAUGCGUACCUUUGUCUUUUCUCCUUUGUAGAUGUGUGGUUUAAGACAAAUAAUUGAUAAAAUAUUAGUAGAUAUCAUAAAAUAAUGAUAAAUUAUAUUAUUUUUUAUUCAUGUUUUGUUACUAACUUUGGGUAAUAUUCUUGGACUACGUACCACAUGGUGGCCUUAAUUUAUUGAAGCCCCAAAGACACUAAAAUCCUCAUGAGCUUUUAGUAUUUUCAUAAAAAAGUGAUAUUAAAAAAUAUAAUUUUUUUGAUCAUAUUUAAUAAACUUAACUUAUUUUAAUGAAUAUGUAUUUAUUUUUUACGCAAAAACUGCUUAAUUAUCUUCCAAACAAUCUGCUGUUUAGUUUGCUCCAGUGGUCAUGAACUCCAAACAUAUGAUCAAAAAUUGCUUUAAAGAGAAUUGCAGGAGAUAUAUAAAUAGUUCUAAUUAUUUUAUUCACAUGGCCAAAUUGUUUUAACAAGGAAAAACAAAAUUUAAUGUAAAAAAAUGUUAUUAAUAAAAGAAAAAAAUUCUCAAUUUGGCUUUUUCUAUUAAGAAAUACAUAAAGUUUAGUUAGUAUAAAAACCAAACGCGUAAAUCAAAUAUGCAAAAGCUACAAAUUUAGUAGCUUUUUUUAUAUAAAAUUGGCCAAAAAACUGGAUGGCAAAUUAAUAUAUCAAAAAAUGAACAUGCUAAUUAAUUACUCUUAGAAUCUUCAUAAAUGUUGAAAAAAUUCCACCAUCUCCAUAAAUGUGACCAAAGAAUAAUGAACGGCCGAGAAGAGUUCCAAAUUGCUAAUUAAUAACCCUUCAUAUUAAAGAAUGGUAAAAAUGUAUGGAGAUCCCCUUAACUCUAGACAAUUUUAAAAUGAUCCCUGAAGUUUUUUUUUGUUCCAUUGAUGUCCUUUCAACUUCUAAUUUUUAUAAAUUGAGUUAUAUCCUUAGUUAAAUUUAAAAUUUUAUUUGAGGAUUAAGGAUUUAAGUACCGUGGUAAGAGGUCGUGCCGGAAACUUGCCGGCACGGUACGGCACGAGCAGUGCAAGCCGUGCUGGUCAAAAAAAAUUUUGUGUGUCGACACAUAAUAGCAUGAAAUAUUUAUUUUCUUUAGCAACAAAAUAUUCUUACUAUUUAUUAUAUCUUUUUAUCACAUCUUUUGAACUUUAUUGAGAAAAUUACUUACUAAUUUAAAGAAUAGAGGGUUUUGAGCUGUACCAUUGGCAUGGGAUCUGUAUCGUGCCGAUAUUUUAUUGGCACGGUACGGCACGAUGGAUACCGUCUGUGCCAACACUACAACAAAAACGGUCUAUAGCGACACUUUUAAAUGUAGGUACAUGUCAAAAAAGUGCUGUUAGCUAAAAUUACCGACACUUUUAAAAAGUGUUGCUAUAUGUGGAGUCGCUAGGUAUAUAGUGACAGUUAAAGAGUGUCGCUAUAACGUAAAAGGGUGCUGCUAAUUUACCAACACUUAUUUAAGCAUUUAGCAACCGCCGAAACUCUAUCUCGUUGGCUGCGGUGGCGGAGUAGGACGACAGGAAAGGCUUUUCGUCUAGAAUUUCAGUAGAUUGAGUGAAGAGAGAAGAAAAGAUGGCAAUUGAUUGUUCUUUUUUUUUUCUUUUCUGUUUGUAAUCGGGCCAAAUGGACUUGGUGUGGUGGAUUGAGUAGAGUAAUCUUUUAUUUUUGGUUGGAUUGUGCUUUAUAUUUAGGCAUUAGUAGAUGUUUUUUUAAGUUUUAGUAUAAAUGGGACACUUACUCAAAAGUGUCUCAAACAUGUGUCCCUAACCUAAUUCUGUUGCAGUGCGACGGGCACUUAUCUAACUCUAUUGCGCCAAAAAGAACGUGGAAAAAAUGAUAUAUAGAUAUAUUCUUUUGCAUUUUCUAUGGUGGGACCAUGGGAUUAAUUAUACAAUAACCGAAUCGCUGCAAUCUCCAUAACACAUUAUUAUUAUUAUUAUUAUUUUUCCAAUUACACUUUCCUCGCCGUAUGUAACGUAUUUUUCCCACAAUUGCAAGCAAAACUUUAGCUGUUAGGUGGCUAAUUGAUGGCCUAGCAUAGAAGGACUCAUCUUCUUUUUUCGAUCAUUUAGUACUAACAUGAGAGACAAAAGAUAGAUCAAAUUCCGUAAUUAUACACGUUUAGGGUUCGAACCCCUCUCUAUAUAUCUCUCUCUCGCAGCAGUCGAAGAAAGCUAUUUGUCUUUCUCAUGCACUCUCUCUUCCUGGUCACAUGCAAUAAAAGAAGCAAACAACGAAAAAAAAUUGGAGGAGAGAACUAAGAUGAGAAUAUGAAGAGUUCUUAUGACUAUGGCCAACCUAUAUAUUCACAUCUCUCCUCUUCUUUUUCUUUUUUUUUUUUCCUUUCUUUCUCUUUCUUCCUCUACUGCCAAAAUAGAGAGAGAUUCUUUUCAUUAAAUUUAAUGAAAGAUCAAACAAGAAGGUGGCAAAAUAUUGGAUGUAAAAUGAAGCAAAAAUGAUGUAGGGUAUAAAUUAAACACCGUAUAAAUUAAGUGCAUGAGGUUUUUUUUUUAAAUUUAGCCGAAAAUAAUUUCAUUCAACUAAAAAGAAACAAAUCAAAGGUUUAAAAAGCCUCAAUAGAAAAAAAAAAAAAAAAAAGUUGAGAAGUCCGUAUUAAAAUAGUUUAUAAUUCAAGAAAUCUCUAUACAUUUACACCACAAAAAAUUAGGUCAAUUGUAUAUUUAUGUAUCCCUACAAAUUAAUAAUAACAUUGCAUAUUUAUCUCUGUAAAGUUUUAGUUAUUGAAUAUAUUAGUCGAAAGUUGCAAAAGUUUGUAAAUAUAUUCCUCCUUAUUAGUUGGCCGAUUAAAAUUCAUUUCUUCAGAAAAAAAAAAUGUAACCAUUCUACUACUUUAGUAAGUUUAAUGAUCUUUUUUAUUAUUUAUCAUUACUAAUAUUGUAUAUUAAUUUUUGUGUAAUCCUUAAGAAGUGAUUAGAAAAGUUAUUUCUUACAGAGGCAUAUAUAGAAUUCUUUCAUUGGUGUUAUUAGGUUUUCGGCCUUAGGAUGAAAGAAUUUGCAGUGAUCUGAUCUCUUAGGCUGCGUUUGGUUGGAGAACUAAAUUUUGAAAAAUAAUUUUUGUUGUUUCCGAGAACCAGGGAUAUUCCGAUACAAGAUAGAACAAUUGUAAAUUUGUGUUUGGAUGCAAUCGGAGAUAUUCUAGAGGAUAUUCUUAAUAGCGUUUAGAUAAAAAGUUUUAAAAAAUAUCUAAAUAUAUUUUUAAAAAUAAAAUAAUUAAUUUAUAUUAGUAUAUUUCAUAUAAAACUAUUUAUAAAAUUAUUUCAUAUAUAUAGUGAUUUAUAAUAUAAUAUUUUAUCUAACUAUCUAAUUUAAAAUAGUAUAUUUUAUUUUAUUAUAUAUAAUAAUUUAUUUUAUAUAAUUUAUUCAUAAUACAUGUAAUGAAUAAAGUAUAAUACUAACAAUAUCCUUAUAAUUUUAAUUAAUAAUUAGUAUAAAUUUCAAUACAAAUUAAAAAUAUAUAUAUAAUAUAUGAAAAAAUAAUUAUAUAUAUAUAAUUACUUAAUAUAAAUACAAUAAUUAAAUAUAAAUAUAAAUAUAUAAAUGAUAAAACUUAAUAAAAUAAAUAAUAUAUCAAAUUUUAUUAAUUUAUAUUAUAAAAAAAAAAUUUAUGUAUAAAUAUAUUAUCAUAAAGAUAAUAUUUAUAUUAAUAUAUUUUUUUAUAGAAUUGAGCUCCUAUGCUUUUAAAUGUAUCAAGUUAUUGGUGCUUGUAGAUUUUUAGCCAUUGGAUUAAAAGAUAUGCGGUUAGGAUGAUGUGGGGCCCCUGGGGUUGAGUGGGUGGUUGGUUGAAUAGUAUAAUCUAAUGGUUGAAAUUGAUCCGAGGAGUAGAUCUAACGGUAAAAAACUUACGAGCACCAAGUACUUGGUGCUUUUACAACCACCAUAGCCGGACUCUUUAUUUAUAUAUCUAUUUAUCUAAUAAAAUAGGGAGAAGAACAAAGUUGUUUUCAGUUUUUCUAAAAAUAAUUUUUAACUGGUUGUUCCAGAACAAUCCAGAACAACCCGCUUUAAUCAGAACAACUCGUUCUCCUAGCUCUUCCAGCAUUUGGCUACAAAUUGGGAGAUAUCCCGUCUCGUUCCGAAAUAUCCCCGGAACUAAAUGUAGGUUGAGUAGGUGGUGGAUUAAAAAGUAUAAUCUAAGAAAUAAAAAGGUCAAUUAAGUAAAUUUAACGAUGAAAAAUUUAAUAGUACUAAAUGUUUAGUGGUGUUAAAGUAUUUCAGUCAGAGUCAACAUGUGUGUAUAUAUAUAUAUAUAUAUAUAUAUAUAUAUAUAUAUAUAUAUAGAGAGAGAGAGAGAGAGAGAGAGAGGGAGUUGAGCUAGAAUACUAUCGUAGCAAACAGCGUUCCGUUGCCACCCAUUUAUUUUUUAUGAUGGAGCUCCAAAUCGAUGAUCGUACCGUUUGAAAAUGAUCUAUCCCACUUGAAGUAUCUAGAAAUCAAAUUUCAUACUUUUUCUAAUUUAUUCUCUUGUCCAUCAAGUGGGCGUAAAAAUGAACGGUGAAAAUGAAAUAUCUUAAAAAGUGAUGAUAGGAAUUUUGUAAUCAAGAAUCGAAAGUGUGUAUUGUUCUAAAUAGUUUAAAAAUUUUAUAACCAAAAUUCAAAUUGAAUUUGGAUAGCUUUACAUCGUUAAACAAGUAAACGCCUCGUAUCGACCAUUAAAAUUACAAAUUUUGAAACCCUUUGAUCAUUAGUCAAUGAUGUCGAAAAGAUUUGAAAUUUGGUUUCUAUAUACUUUAAGUAGUAUAGAUCAUGUUCAACCGGUGCUAAUCGUCGAUUUGGAGGCCUCCAUCUUGAAACAAAUGGGUGGCAACGGAGUCUGUUGCUACCGAUAGUAUUCCAGCUCAAUUUUUAUAUAUAAUAUAUAAUUAUAUAUAUAUAUUAUAUAAUAUAUAUAAUAUAUAUAUAUAUAUAUAUAUAUAUAGAGUUUUGCUAGAAUACUAUCGGUAGUAAACGACCGUUUUACUAUCGAUUUGUUUCAAAGUAGAACUUCCAAAUUGACGAUCGGCUCCGUUGAACAUGAUCUAUGCCACUUGAAGUGUUUAGAAAUCAAAUUUCAAAUCUUUUCGACAUCAUUUGCCUAAUGAUCAAAGGGUUGCAAAAUUUAUAAUUUUAAUGGUCGAUAAGAGGUGUUUUCUCGUUUAACAGCGCAAAGAUAUCCAAAUCAAUUGAAUUUUUGUUAGAAAAUUCUUUAAACUAUUUAAAACAAGAUCUAUACUCUUGAUCUUGAUUACAAGACUCCUAUCAUCAUUUUUUUAAAAGUAUUCAUUUUCAGUCAUUCAUUUUUCUGUUCGAUGGAUAAAAGAACAAUAUCGAAAGUGCGUGAAAUUUGAUUUCUAGAUAGUUUAAAUGGUUUAGAUCAUAUUUAACUAAGCCGAUCGUCAAUUUGGAAGCUCUAUCAUCAAAAACAAAUCGAUAGUAAAACGGCUCGUUUACUACCGAUAGUAUUCUAGCUCAACUCUCUCUCUCUCUCUCUCUCUCUUUCUCUCUCUCUCUCUCUCUCUCUUUCUUUCUCUCUCUCUCUCUCUAUAUAUAUAUAUAAACUUCAAAUAUCUCCUUGUGGUUUCGCACGUUUUCACUUUAGCACCCUGUGGUUUAAAGUGUAUCAAUUUAGUAUCCUGUGGUUUUGUAAUUUCUCACUUUAGUAACUGUGGGUGAAAAUGCAUCAAUUUAAUACCCUGUGGUUUUAUUUUUCUCUUUUCGUCAACUUCUCUGUCAAUAUUUCGUUAAAUUAUAUACAAAAAACUUCAGAUACCCUACCUAGUUUUAUCGAAUAUUUACUUUAGUACCCUUUAAUUUUAACUUUGUCACUGGUUUCUUUUUCCUCCGUUAAUAUUUCAGUAAAUUAUAUACAAAAAAACUUAAAAUACCCUAUAUAGGUUUAUCGAAUAUUCACUUUAAUGCCCUUUAAUUUUUUACUUUGUUACUGAUUUAAUAAAAAAAUUAGUAAAAUGGAUAAAAAAAAGAGAAAAAAAUAAAAUCACAGAAUAUUAACUUGAUACACUUUAAACUAUAGGGUAUUAAAGUAAGAAAGUGUCAAACCAUAUUGACUAAUUUGAUACACUUUAAAUUACAGAGUACUUAAGUGAGAACGUACGAAACUACGAGGGGGUAUUUGAAGUUUACCCAAUAAAAAAAAAACUUAUCUCAUGCUUCCCAGGGAGACAUGACCAUGUGCCCGUCAUUUCCAAUCUACAUGAAUGGUUACGUCCCUCUUGCGUUAUUAUUUCGUAGAGAGCGCGAGUGAGACGAAACAAAGCGCGGGACCCACCAGUCCUAAUCUCAACCUCGAGCGCACUUUUGCUUUUUGCUCGCACCAGUAGAUUUUCGACAAGUGUCGCGCCGUAUCCAUCACACGUUUCGCCAACGCGGGGCCCCACCACUUGGCGCCAAAUGACAUAACCCAUGCUGUGUCUCCAUCACAUAAAUUCAGGUCACCUCCCCCCUUGUCAUUUAUUUUCUUCUUUUUAUUUAUUGAUUUAAUUUUAAUUUAAUUUAAUUUUUUCUUGGUAUUGGAUGCGGUUUUUCUACAGUUUCGUAAAUAAAAAAAUAUUAAAUUAUUCUAAAACUAAUACAUCCUAUGGAAUAGCGUUGACUCGUGGGUUGUUUGGUGAAUUAAUUUUUAAGUAUGGUGCAGUUGAAAAUAUAUGUAACUAUAAAUUUUUUUUAUUGGGUUUAAUUGAUGAAGUUAGACCCAUUUGCCUUAGUCGCAUCCGUAUGAGAAAGUCAAAUUGCUAUAGUUGGAUUGGACUCAGCUCACUCGUUCAAAAAAAAUAACGUGGAAUUUUUUUUUUUUUUUUUUUCAUACACUUCAUAUUUUCCUUCUCUGCUUUUAAAAUAUCUCGUCACAGUAAUGGAUAAGAUUUUAUUUGCGACAUCAUAGUUCAACAUUGUCUUACUUUUGUUGUAACCAAAUCUAUUAUAUGUUCGAAUUUAAAAUUCACUGAAUUGAUAUUUAUUUUUUAUAUUUUAUAUACACAAUCAUCUUUAAAUAUAUAAUUUUAUAAUAUGUAAAAUAAUAAAUAAAUAUAAAGUUUUAAUUAAUAAUUAAAAAUUGCAGGAUUAUUUUAUGUUCAGAGAAGGUAAUCUCACAUCUUUAUCUAAAAAGUGACAUGCAUGAUUUACAAAUACAAAUCUCAACUUUCGCCUGUCGGCAAAUAGAAAAAAUGUAACUGCAAUAGUUACAAUUGUAUAGAGCCAAACAGAUAGCACUACAACAGAUUUAGGUUAUAGGUGUUAGAUUUUAUUGGAUUUUUGUGAUUUAAAACUUAUCAGGCCUCUUGAACAACCCAAUACUUAAUGGGCCUUACCUGGAAGCCUAACUAAGGUUUUCAUAUGUGAGAUUUAAUCCAUAUUAAAAACUAAAGGUAUGUUGUUGUUAUUUAUAUAUUGUCUCAUUCUCAAAUUAGUUACUUGAGAGAAAAUGAGAAUUAUGCUCUCGACUAAACACACGCACGGCAAGAGCCGAGCCGGGCCGGGCGGGCAACGGCGCGCGCGGUCUAUGCACCUGGUUUAUUACGGCAUAAUCUUAGGCUUAUCUUGUUCUACACGGAAUUGACGCAUUGAAAUAAGAUUCUUGCCUUAUUUAUACAUAUUGGAGGAGAUUGCAUGAGUUCAAUUGGAACCUGGGUCUCACCUUUUUUCUAUUUUUUCGCCAUUGAUCUUCUGCGUCAAUUUUCGCCGAGCUUUCUCAUAUUUUGUUGGAUCUGAAGCUUGUUGGGUUCAACUUGCGCCACCUUGAAAUCGUACCAAUGGGGUGGAACAUGAUAAUUGUAUCACUGGAAGUAAUUAUCGAGAAGUCUCGGACGUGGAGGGAUAAUUUCGCUUUUAGGACAGUACUCUGUAUGCCUCGAACCACAAGCAUUUUCUAAUUUUUUUUUACAAUAUUUAUUAUUUAAUUUUUUUCUCAGAAUUUUUUUAAAACUGAAAUUAAAUUUUCGAAUUAUUUUUAAAGAAUAUUUUAAUAAAAGAUCAGAAAGACUUUUCAACAAUAGGGGUACAUUUUUUAGACACUUUUGUGUAAAUGUCUCAUUUAUGCCAAAAUUUUUUUAAGAAAAUCUACUAACGGCUAAAUAUAAAGCUCAAUCCAAUUAAAAAUAAAAAAUUUUUCUACUCAACUAACCCCACGCAACCUACUCGGCCUAAUUACAAAUAGAAAAAUAAAUAAAUAAAAAAAUUGAUCACCAUCUCCUUUUCUCCUCCGCCGUCGCCGCAGUCGACAAGGUAGGGUUCCAACGGCCAGAGUUCGGCUGCGAGGAUCUCGCAGGGACCGUAGAGGCAUAUGAUCGCCACGUAUCCCUUCGCCACAGAUCGCUGGAGGAGUGGGUGCCAAAUAUCAAGGCGGUUCCACAUAUAGCGACCCCAAAUAUAGCAACACUUUUAAAAGUGUCGGUAAUUUAGCCAGCAGCACUUUUUUUGAUCUGUACCGAUAAUUAAUAGUAUCGCUAUACACCGUUUUUAUUGUAGUCAUAUUAGUAAAAAAAAGUGAAAUUGGAUAGCCAUUUCAAAAUGGCAUAUUAUUUUUUUUAGCUUAAUAUUUAACAUUUUUGUUUUUUGCCAAAUUGAAAUAUCUGAAAAUGGAAUUAAUUAAUUUUUCCCUGAAAUGGAAUACUAGACUUAGGGGUUGUUUGGUUUGAUGUAAAUCCGGAAAAAAAAGUUCUUGGUGGAAAAAAAAUUUUCGUAGAAAAAAAAUUUUAUGUAGUGUUUUGUUUGGUUUGUAGGAAAUGAAAAAUAAUUUUCCAUCACGGUUGUUUGGUUGAAAGGAAAAAAAAUAUAUAUUAAUAAAUAUUAUUAUAUAUUUCUUUUUAUUAUAUAUAUAUUUUAUAUUAUUAAUAUAUAAUUAUUAUCAUAUUGCAUAUAUUAGUAUUAUAGUUUAUAUUUAUAAAUAAAAUAUAUUUAAAAUAUAUUAUGUAAUAAUUAAAUAUGUAAAAUAAUAUAUAAUACUAUAAAAUAAGUUAUUAGAUAUUUAUAAAUAAUAUGUAUAAAUAAAUAAAAUAUUAUAUAAUAAAUAUAUUUAUAUUAAAAAUGAAAUACCAUAUUUAAAAUAUAUAUAUAUAUACUAUUAUAUUAUAUUAUAAUAUAGAGAGAGAGAGAGAGAGAGAGAGAGAGGAGUUAGCUAUGAUAACUUUACAAGUAUCACCAUCAUGGUGAUUAGCGUUUUAAAGCCAUUGGAUCUAGCUUUUUUGAUAUUAAUAGCCUUGGAAUUUAAACACUAUUCCACCUCACCACCACUACACCACCUCCACCAAUCAUCUCAACCUCACAUUCUCAUCCAAGAGCCUAAAAAACACAAAGGUAUCACCUCAUGAUACUUUUACAAGUAUUCUAAGCCUAUUAUAUAUAUAAUUAAUAUAUAUUAUAUUAUAUUAUAAUAUAGAGUCCGCUAUAUACUAUCGAUAGUACCAAGCUCUUGGUACUAUUGAGUUUUCUACCGUUUAGAUUUACCCUUUGAUCAUUUCCACCGUUCGAUUAUACUAUUAAACCAAACCCUCACUCAACCUAGAGGGCACACUAUCAAUUUAACCGAACCACCAUUAUUAACCGCACAUGUUCUUAUCUAACUGGCUGAAAACCAAUAGUACCAAUGGUUUGAUACUAUUGGAUAGUAUAAGUUGCAUAUAUCUAUAAUUAUAUAUAUAUAUAUAUAUAUAUAUAUAUAUAUAUAUAUAUAUAUAUAUAUUUUAUAUAUAUAUACUAGUAGUAUAUAUAUAUGAUAUGAGAGAGAGUGGACCCCUCUCUCUCUCGCGGUCCACGAGGUGGUCUUGCGGUCUACGAGGUGGGGUAUUCUCAUGGACCGCGCCUGCUAAACCCCGCCCACGCUCCAACGCCGCGCUUUUUCGAAAAACGUCAUUUUUCCUUGAAUUCGUAAAAGAAAUAUUUGAAAAAAAAAAAUUUUACGGCAAACAAACACUCGGAAACAAGCACUCGGAAAUUUAUUUUUUUACCGAAAAUAAUUUUCGGAAUAAUUUUACAACGAAGCAAACAGGCCCUUAAUUUAUCUUGCUUAUCACACUCAUAAGAGAUAGCUACGCGUGAAAACGAAAGGAGGGCCAAAAUAAGAACCAAUUAUUUAUAGAUAGCUAUAAUAUAAUACAAGGAGCUCAUAUCAAAUCACUAUACAAAUGUGGGGAUUGGACGCGCACUUAAUUUAUUCCAAUUAAGAAUUUAAUUCUGCAGUCGAAAUAAAAUUGAAAAAAAAAUAAAAAAAUAGAAAAGUUUGUUGAAUAACAAAGACUUGGAAUAACAAUAAGGAUGAAUUAGAGGGAAUUGGCACAAUUAAUUGACCUGAAUUGAUUCGAUAUGGAACGGAUUAAACGUGGAAUGUGGCGUUUUAUCAACCCCAAAUCCAAACUUACCAGCUCGGAUUCAUCCAAAACCCGCCCCCAAUCCAUCUCGAUCUUGCUCUAUCUAGAUUUCGAUGAUAAAGCUGUUUAGUAAUUUCCGAUCAUUAGUUAGAUAUUAUAUCAAAUGGUUGUUGUGGCAGUGUGGUAGCUUUUAUAUAUCACGAACACUUCUAUAUAUAAGUCUCGCGCAUCCGAUGUAGACACGCCAUGUACGUACGCGUGUUCGACACAAGUCCAUUAGGACCAUUACCUAUACCAUGAAAAAAUAUUCUUAUUUCUAUCUUUUAUACAUAUAUAAUGUAAGAUGAAAUAUAUUUUGGCUCUUCAUAAAUGCAUAUAAUUAUUUUUUAGACAACAUAAAUAAAUUAUAUAGAAUAGAACAUUUCUUUUCUUAAAAUAUAUAAAAUAUCAAUAAAAAUUUUAUUAACUCUCAUUCGUCUGAAAAAUAUAAUAAUAUUUUACUAAUAUUAAUAUUUUAUAUAUAAUAAAUACAUAUUAGUAUAUUAAUAAUAUUAUAUUUUAGUAGUCAUGUUUGUAUUCUAAUUUUUUUGAAGUCAUAGAAUCGUCGUAUCCAAAUCGUAUCUAUACUUCGUAUCUCGUGUUCGUGUCAGUGACAUCAAGGGUUGGAAUGUGCAUGACCAAUUUCAACCCGACUAGAUAUGGGUUGGAUUUUUGAAACCUACAUUUCUGUAAGGAACCGGACUUCUAAAAUUAUAAAGUUACGGUGUACAUUUGAUUUGAAAGCCAUUUAAAUGGUUCCGGUGAGGUUGCGGUGAAAUAUAAUAUACCGGAUUUUUAAAUAUAAAAAUAAAAAUAAAUAAAAAUAGUAUGAGAUAAUAUUUUUAUUGGAUUUGGAGAAGUGAAAUAUGAGUUAGAAACGACCUGUAAUGAAAUCGGAGUGAAAACAGAAGAUUUAGAAUUUUCUGUGAGAAACGGAGCAGAUAAAUUAGCAGAAAAUGCACAGUGUCAAAAAAUUAUGAAAACUGGAGGGUAGAUUAGAAUUAUUUUUAUGAUGCUAGAUUUAAAGUUUCAUGUCAUUCUGACACCCGGAAGGUGAAAAAUAAAAUCCGAUAGUGAUCUGAUAAAGAUUAUAAUUCGGUGCAGCUUUCGGUGACCAAAUAGGGUCGAAACUGAAAGAUUAAAAUUUCUUUGGACUUAUUAAGUAAAACCGAGCCUGCCUGUCAAAUUUGAGCGCAAACGGACGUUCAGAAGGGCUCUGGCGAAAAAUGUCAGUUUUAAACUGCUGAAGUGAAUAGUAUUUUGGGGGAGUUUACUUGGAGGUGAAGUUUCCUCCUAUAUAUAUAUAUAUAAGGGUGUUAUGACAUUUCUCUCAUUCCUCUCUACUUGAGCCAACAUAAGAAAAAUCUCUCUCUCUCUCUCUCUAGGAUUGGCUCCAAAGUGUAGAGUUUGCUAGAGAAAAGCUUGCUUAAAAGUGAAGCUUUCUUUUUCUUCACCAUUGGCUGGAAGAGAGCUUGGGUUUGAGAGGUAAGAUUUGAUAGCAACAAUGAUAGAUUGCUAAAUAGUGAUUUGUAUGCCUUAGAAAUAGAUUUAGUGAAACUCCUAGAUGCUAAACAGAUGGUUGAUGCUCGAAUUUAGAGAUCAAAUGAUGAAUUCUUGCAUAGUUGCAUCUUAGGGCAUCAAAAGAGGAGUUUUUGCUUGUGAGGGGUUUUGAUUUAAAUUGAUCAUGUAUAAACCUAAUUGCUAGGUAAACGAACGCGUUGGCGAAGUCGGUUCGGCGAUUCGUUGAGCCUACGCGAAGUUAUUAAAGAAACGGACAUUUAGGCUUCGUUUCCGCCUGGAGGGCCGAGGCGACGUCGUAAAAUCAUGGAAUCGGAUUUGAGGCACCGUAACAACAAAACAAAGACCCUUUUUGCCCGAGGCUGCGAAGCGAUGCACGGUCGGUGCGCAAUUGCAAGUUCCGGCGGAACCGAGCACCGGAUGCGGCGGGAGGCCGAUUGCAAGUAUCGACAAGCAAUCGAAAUGCACUAACAGGUGGGUUGUGCUCACCGAAGUUAUUAGCUCACUUCCAUGUCGAAGCGAAAGUGUAAUUCUCGUUGAUGCAUAUAAUGUAAAUGCUAAACGAUACAUAUGAUGUAAAUACUUGAUUAUGCAUAUAAUGUAAAUGCAUGAUGACAUGAGGCAUAUACUAAAUGAUGUUGACAUAUCAUGAGAUGCUAGUUGAUAUAUAUACAUGAUAGGGUAUUGGAUAGUCGCAUUUCUAUUCUUGCAUGAUCCAUAGUAGUGUAGCAACAUGAGUUGGCACUUGAGUUAGGAUGUAUGAGAAUAGUGGAAUGGUGACAUAGAACUCUAUAGAGAUAAGUUAAACAAUAGCUUGAUCUUGUAUUGAUGAAUAUGAUGAUAUAUGACUAGUAUAGUUGAGCCAUUGCAUCGUGACGAGUGGCAUGUGAAUCAAGUAAACAACUUGACGAGUGGCAUUAGAAUUUAGUGUUAAAAGAAUGCUUGUGACAUGAUGACUUAGGGGAUAGACAAGUCUCCCUAUUUGACACCUUGCAUGAGAUCGGUGUGACAUUGAUGACCCUAGAGACAGGGUAUCCUCAGUGCACGAGGAUUGGAUCAUACUCACAUUGUCUGUUCAGCGCUUGUGGCGGUCGCCCCGCACAAGUAGUGCGAGCUCCGGAGUCUUGGCACGUGAAACGAUUGGGAUAGCCUAUGUAGGGUCCCAAGGGAUAGCCUAUGUGGGGUCCCGCAGACAGUCCCUCGGGGGUUCGAGUCCCCUUCCAUAGACGGAUUUAAGAUGUGAGUUGAGGGCACGCCUAUGGGCCAGCCAGAGGAUUGGAUAAUAAACUCAUGAGAAUUAUGUGCAUUGAGCAUAGUGAGUCGUAGCUGAACCCCAGUUGAGUGGAUAUUAGGCUGAGGCGCAAGUGAGACGUCCUUCGCCUUGAGCCUGAUUUUGCGCAAUAAUCCGCGGAUGAUUGACUCAAGACCGAGUCGGAUGGAUAGCUUCGUAAAGGUAGAUAAAAAAACCUUGUGAGCAAACAGUAAAGGUCAAUGAAACCUUAUGAUCGGAAUGAUACUUGACCUGAAUCUAAGAUAGAAGAAAACUUAGAAGUCAAUUAGACGAGCUAUGGAUAGCAGGAUUGAAAGUAGUAUCAAUUGAACUACUAGUUGGCUAUAUAGCUGCAUUAUUGCAUGAUUUUCAUAUUGCAUAUUGCGAGGCAUGUUAUUUGUUAGUUGCAUAAAUACAUGAUGAUAUAUAUAUCUGUGGAUGUUUUUGGACUAACAUAUUACAGUGCCUCCUUCGGACCUGGUGGGUCGAGCUCUUCCCUUGGGUAGCCGUACCCACUGGGAACUAUAUUUAUAUAGUUCUCACCCCCGUGUGGUUUUGGGGGUUACAGGUUUGCACGUGAGCGGCGCGGCGGCGUAAGGAGAGGGCGUAUCUCCGUAGAUAGCGCCUUACCACCGAGACCAGAGAUAGCAGUACCCCAAAGUGGCCUAGCUUAGGGGUUAGAGAUGUAAGAAAUAAACUUGUAAUAAUUAUGAUUGUAUUUGGAAGUUGAGGAUGUAUAGCAAAUAAUGUAAUAUAAAUGUGAAUGCUUGUAAUAGCAUAGGAUUUAUAUUGUUUGAUACCUUCCUUAUGCAAUCGUUGUCUGAAUAUUGUUCCUGUUUGGAACCUCUUGUAAUUGUAAUGAUUGCGACGCCUUGGACGUACAGGGGAGACUCUGUCCGUUUGGCGGUCUGUCGGCGUACCCGAACCGACCAAAUAGGCGGACUCGGGACGUGACAAUUUCCAUCUAUAACAAGGAUUGAGGGAUGAGGACACAUGCAAUCUUAUGGUGUCCCUGUUAUAAGAUCAUCUAAAUAGAUCUUGCAAUGUCAUUUUUUGUCCUUUAAAAUUGUAGCUGCGGCUAUUAGAAUUGAUUCUGAUUGAAAAUCUGAAAUUUUUAUAACGAUGACAGCAAGAUGAAGUGACUUUCCUGAGCAGCAAAAAAAGAAAAAAAAAAAGAAGAAAAAGACAACGAGCCGGCUCGCAAGCUAGUGUAGAGAUUAGGGCUGGCAUAUGAGCGAGCCGGCUCGUGUUCAACUCGCAUUCGGCUUGAUAUUCGGUUUGCUCGAUCUUGACUCAAAAUUAAAUAAACCGAACUUAAACAGAAAAAAAAACAUCAAAUUUAUUUCAAGCCGUUUUACUGGGCUCACUCAAAUAUAUAACAUAUAUAUAUAGAGAAAAUUUCUUCAAUACCCUUCUAAAAAUAUUUAAUUUCAUAAAUACCCCUUUAAAAUUUGAAAUAUUAUGUGUACCCCCUUAAAUAUUUAGUUUCAAAUACUUUAAAUCAUAUUUAACGGAGUAGAUCGUCGAUUCAGAAGCUUCAUCAUUGAAAAUAAUUUAUGAGUAUGAAAACUCUAUACUCAUAAGAAUAUAGUAGUCCUAGCCUGUAUAUAUAUAUAUAUAUAUAUAUAUAUAUAUAGAGAGAGAGAGAGAGAGAGAGAGAGAGAGAGAGAGAGAGAGAGAGAGAGCGCGCGCUAGUCUUCUAUACUAUCUAUAGUACUGGGACUCCGAUACUAUAAUCUCGUUUUCGAUCUUAAGGUGUUCAAAUCAACGAUCCACACCGUUAAAACUGAUCUAGGGUAUUUAAAGUUUUUAGAAAUAAAAUUUUAUAUUUUUUUGAUAUAGUUUACUUUAUGAUCAAAAUAUUUCAAAAUUGUCAAUUUUCAAUUGCUACUAUGGCGAAUUUGGAAUUUAAAAGAGUAGAAGAAUCUAAAUUUCUUCAAAUUUUGAUAGAAAAUACUUUAAACUAUCUAGAUUAAGGUUAACAUUUUUUAUCUUAAAUUUAAAAGUCCUAUGCUCAAAUUUUAAAGAUUAUUCAAUUUCCACCGUCCAUUUUGACAUAAUUUAUUUACUAAGUAAACGAUGUCGAAAAAAAUUAAAAUAUUAUUUCUAAGAACUUCAUAUACCCUAAAUCAUAUUUAACAGUGUGGAUCAUUAAUUUGAACACCGUAAGAUCGAAAACAAGACUAUAGUAUCGAAGCUCCGGUACUAUAGAUAGUAUAGUAACCUAUAUAUAUAUAUAGAGAGAGAGCAAGGCCGCUGUGCUCUCAGGAGCACGGAGGCCUCCGUGCUCCUGAGCUGUUUUCGAUGAUGAAAUUUUCGAUUCGACGAUCGGCUCCGUUAGAUCUAGCGCAUUUGAAGUUUGUAGAAAAUAAUUUUUGCGAUUUUUCGAUAUCAUUUACCUAGUGAUCGAAAGGAUUCAAAAUCUAUAAUUUUUAAUGGUUGAUAUCUGUCGUUUUCAAGUUUAACGGUGUAGAAGUAUUCAAAUUAGAUGAAAUUUUAAUACAAAAUUCUUUAUACUAUCUACAACAAGAUCAAUAUUUCUGAUCGAAAAUUUUAAUGCUAUAUCACUAUUUUUUAUAGAAUUUUUAUUUUCAGCCGUUAAAAAUUAUUGAUUUUGAAUCCUUUCGAUUGCUAGGUUAAUGAUAUCGAAAAAUCGCAAAAAUUAUUUUCUAGAAACUUCAAAUAAUCUAGAUCAAGGUCUAACGGAAGUCGAUGCUCGUCGUUCGGAAACUCCAUCAUCGAACGGUUAGGUUGAGGAGGCAUCCGUGCUCUUGAGAAACACAGCCAGCUUGACUCUUCUCUCUCGUCUCUCAUUUCCUUUUAUAUCUAUAUUUAUAAUCUAUAUAUAGAGAGAGAGAGACCUGAGAGACGUGUCUUCAAUCUAUUCGGAUCCUGCUCGGAGAAGAGGAGAGUGGUAGUGGUAUUAAUAUCUUUAUGCACGGAGGCCUGCCGUGUUUCAAGUUUGUUUUCGAAUGUGCGACAUCAAGGUCAACGAGCGGCUCGUUAGGAUUGAUUACACUUUAAAAGUAUUGAAAACUAAAUUUUAUAAUUUUUCGGCAUCAUUUGCCUAGUGAUCAGAAACGGUCUCAAAUGAUAACAAUUUUAAUAGGUAGAUGUGAUGCCGUAUUGUGAAUUUAACGGUGUAAAACAAUCAAAUUUUGAUGAAUUUUAUGUCGCAAAGAUUCUUUUCAUAUUUAGAGCAUAAGAUCAGUAUCCCCUGAUCUUAAUUCAAGUUUUUAUCCACUUUUUUUGGAUUUUUAUUUUCACCUCGUUGAUUUUUAGACCUUGCUCAGUUUGUAGGUUCAAGAUGACGUUAAAAAUUGAUUAAAUUUAGUUUCUACAAUUGCUGUUAAUAGUGUGUAGAUCAAUGUACUAAUGGUGAUCGCGCAUCGUCGAUUGGAAGCCGCUCAUUGAAACAAUUGGAGCACGGAGGCCUCGAUGCUCGAUUAGUAUACCAGCCUAACUAUAUAGUAUAUUAUAUAUAUAUAUAUAUAUAUAUAUAUAUAUAUAGAGUCCGGCAACUAUACUCUUAUGAGUAUAGAGCCUAUUGUACUCAUAAGUUUUUGGCCGUUAGAUCUAGCCUUUAAUCAUUUUCACCCGUUAGAUUAUACUAUUCAACCAACCACCCACUCAACCCUAGGGGGCCCACUAUCAACUUAACCGUAACCACUUUCAUUCUUACCGCACAUUUUUUUAUCUAAAUGGUCGAAAACUUAUGAGUACAAAGGGCUCUAUAUAUAUAGAGUUUGACUGGGCUACUAUCGGUAGUAAACUGCUCGGUUUACUACCGAUUUAUUUUUGAUGAUAGAGCUUCCAAAUCGACGAUCGGCACAGUUGAACAUGAUCUAGACCAUUUAAAUUAUCUAAAAAUCAAAUUUUAUGAUUUUUUGGCAUCACCAACUGAACGAUCAAAUGGUCACAAAAUCUAUAAUUUUAAUGGCCGAUAUGGUGCGUUUGCUUGUUUAACGGUAUAAAAGAGUUCAAAUCAACUUAAUUUUUGUUAAAAAAUUCUUUAAACUAUUUAAAAUAAGGUCUAGACUCUAGAUCUCAAAUAUAAAAAUUGCAUCAUCACUUUUUGAAGGAUAUUCAUUUCCAGCCAUUCAUUUUUCUGUUCACUUGAUGGACAAGAGAACAAUAUCGAAAAUGUGUGUAAUUUGAUUUUCAGAUAGUUUAAAUAGUUUAGAUCAUGUUUAACGGUGUCGAUCAUCAAUUUUGAAGCUCUAUCAUCGAAAACAAAUCGGUAGUAAACCGAACCGUUUACUACCGAUAGUAUUCUAGCAAAACUCUCUCUAUGAGUUUGAUUGGGCUACUAUCGGUAGUAAACUACUCAGUUUAUCGGUAGUAAACUACUCAGUUUACUACCGAUUUGUUUUUGAUGAUAAAGCUUCCAAAUCGACGAUUGGCACUGUUGAACAUGAUCUAGACCAUUUAAAUUAUCUAGAAAUCAAAUUUCGUUUAUUGGGUAAAUUUGCUAGCCAACAAAAUCAAACCAACAAAAACCUACUGUAAUUACUCUCUCUCGCUCUCUUUCACUUGCUCGCAUAAUCACUUUUCCUAAAUUAUUUUUCUUAGCGUUAUGAAAUUGUAUCAUGCAUUUUUUUGUAUGUUAAACUAUUAGGCAUAUUUCUUAUAUCAAAUUUUAAGUAAUGUUUCAUAAAAUUUAAACUAUAGAUUGUAAGAUGUUAAAAUUUUCAAGCGACUCGUUUAGAACUCGAGCUCGCUCGACUCAAAAUUAGGCUUGCUCGAGCUUAAGUCGAAUUAAUUUUAAGUUGAGCCUGAACCUAAAUGUAGGUUCAAAAUUAUGUCCAAUCCAAGCUUGAGCUGAGAUAAGUUCACUCAAGUUCGGCUCAUUUCCACCUCCCAGUAGAGAUAAGCUUGCAGGGUUUUAAAUAAUUGAAAAAGUUAAUAGUGCUUCUAGAAAUUUUUGUCCAGCAAUAGUUUUGUAGAGGCUUCAAUUAAAUGAAUCAAACAAAGAUCUUUUUUUGGCUAUGUUACAAACUGUAUAGUACCUUUAAUUAAGUGUUGUCUUACUAGUGUUAUAUACAUUAGAAGAAAUAUGCUAUGCUAUGCUACUUUUUCUAAUACACUUCUCUUUUCAACAGAAGCAAAAGCUCAUUUACUAUUUAAUUAUUAAUUUGUUUGCGUAUCGCAAUAUGCAAUUGCUCUUGUACGGGCCAUUUGCCCUCGCGGCACUUAACCGUAUACAAUUUCUGUGUUACCGACCGUCCCUAGAGCAAGUGGCAAAGGGCUUGGUGGUUGGUACCUGAGAUCCAAAUUCGAAUCCUAGUUGAUUCACAUUUUCAGCUAAGUUUAUUUCUAAAUGAAAUAAAUGAAGCGGAUAGCGUGCUACCUAUCUCUCAAAAAAAAAAAAAGAAGAAGAAAUCUGUGUUAACAUACGACGAAAUUUGAAAUUGGAGCUUCUGCAUCAAAGUAUGCAUAUAGCAAACAAGCACAAGUUUCUAUUCCUAGGUUAAGAAUCACAUUUUAGUUUUUGUACCGAGUUCUAAAUUUUUUUCGUUUGCUAAUGCUUAAUAAGAGGUACGAGUCUAUAACUGAAACCAGGAGCAAAAAUAGGUAUGCAAUUUCUCCUGUUGUGGGGUAUCACAACGCUUAAUUAUCAUAAUCUGAUUAGAAUUAUUAGUCCCAUACUUGGAUAAAGUCCUAAUAUAUUGGUUUAUAUCGUUCUUAAUUAAUUUAAUCUUUAUACAACUAAAUCUCCUCUCUGAGAUACGCAUUAAAAUAAUAUAUUCCCUUCCUCUCUCAGCUGUUGAUGUUACAUGCCUUUGCAAUUUUGCGCAAGGGUUUGUAGCAUGGCCUUGCACCUAUUCUCGAUCCCUCCAAGGCACGGGACUUGACGCCGGAGCAACACUUAGGCUUAGUUUAGUUCGAUAAUGAAUAAGAACUGCUUAUUUCAGAGAGAGAUAAAGUUCAGAUAUAAGCAUGAAAUAUAAGUGAUAAAGUUCAGAUAUAAGCAUAAAUAUAAGUUUUUGUUUGGAUGAAAAUUAUGCUAUUUCUGAGAAUAAAAUAAAUAGUGUUUGUAUGUUAGAUUGGAAUGGCAAAAAUAAAAAAAAAAUUAUAAUUUUCAAUUAAUAAUAUUUUUUUAUCUAAUUAAUUAAUAUUAAAAUAUUAGUUAAAACUAAUUUAGUAAAUUAAAAAUUUUAUUAGCCAUGAAUAUUGUAUAAAAUUAUGAAAAAAAGAUAUUCAUAGAAACAUCCUGUCUCUUCAGAUUCCUCUCCCUCUAAAAGUGACAUAACAUAGGAAAGGUACGUGAACUAACUCAUUGUCGGAAUACUAAAUCUGAGAUUGAGAAAUAUAAAUGAGAGAAAUAAUAUUUUUAAGUGGGAAAUUGAAGCUUCCGAAUUUGUCACUGAUCAUCUAAUUGUUAGACAAUAUUACUAUCUUUAGAAGAGAUAUAUCGCGCGGUUUGGAUUGAUUUAUUUGGUUUUGGUAAAAAUACUUCUAUUUAGUUUAAAUCGUCUUGAAUUAAUUACUAAAAAUAAGAUAUAAUCAUGAUUAAUUUAAUGUUAAAAAGCAUUAACCUAAGAUAAUAAUAUAAUAUAAUUAAUAUCUCUCAUUAUUUCAUUAUUAUUUAAAAUUAACUAAUACAUAAUAUUUUCCUUCUACUUCUAAGUUCUAACCUUGGUUGCUAAUUAAGAUAGGAACAAGGGACUGUCAUACACACAAUAAGAAUUAGGUAUUAAAAUCAUUAAAUGAAGAUAUAAAUAAUGGCCUAGUGUCUUAUACUGCAAAUUAAUACAUUAAACUUUUCAUUUGUGUGCUAUUCAAAAAAUUAAAUAUCUUAUUUAAUAUAUAUAUAAAAAAAUAUAAAAGCGAAUGAAUUUGGGAAUCUAGUUUACUUAACUUUACUUUAAUAAAAAAAUUGAGCCAAUGAAUAUUCUCUCCAAAAAAAAAAAAAGGUCGAGCCAAAAUAUACGUACCAAAUUUGGUAUAAAUAUAAUACAAAUGCAUAUAUAGAGAAGAAGCCAUGAGCAUGGUGUCUUGAGAGGUAAUACAAACAAGAACAAUUAGAUAACGACGUUGGAGACAACAAUAGAGACAUGCCAACCUGUGGAAAACCCUAAUUUCAUUUACCCAAAAAUGACCGUGGUCGAUCACUAUGUCAAAGUCAUAUAUGAACAAUAAUGGAGGAACCGUCGUAAUAAUAUAUGCUGUGGAAUUAAUAUUAUACAUUAUUUAGGCGCAUUAUGCAAAUUCUGCAGCGACAUCAAAAUAUUUGGGACGUUAAUUGAUGGAAUGUGCUAAAGUUGAAAAUUUUACCCACUAAUUGCUAUCGCCUUAAUUUUAUUGGUGACAAAUUAUGAUGAUGGGACCAUGAUAACUACAAAGCUACAUACCUGAUGUUGCCCAAGUUCUCCAAUGAAAACCAAGUAAGUUAAUGCAUUUAUAUACACUAAUUUGCCCCUAAAUAGACAGUUUUGAAGAGGCCCCUUAACCAUCUUUUAUUUUUUAUUGACACAUUUUAACUUAAUUACUAAUACUUUUUUGUAGUUGAGUUAUUUUAAUUAGUUAAAUUAUUUUUUAAAACCUAUUGGCUCUAUUAGCUGUUAGUUGCAGCUGUUAAUCAUCCUAUAUUUCUCUAUAUAUGGGAUUAAAUUUAAUGGAAUCAUCAAUAAACUCUAGUUUAAUUGAUUAUAGGAAAGAAAUUAAGUUUUGGGGCCCUUCAAUACAUCAUGACAUACAGACGAGGGGUUCCUUAUAUAUCAUAGAGUCAGUUUUUAAAAUUUUUAAAAUUCCAUUGUUCCUCGCCGAAUUAUUUUUGUUGAUGUAUAAUUAAGCACUACUUUAUUUAAUAGAGCAUUAAGCUAAAGAAUUUAGCAUUUUAUAACCUAACUGUAAUGAGGAUAAAUUUCACGACUAUUCCGAAGUUGCUAGAAACGAAAGUUUACAGUUUGAUGCUGAGAAAAUCACAAGCAAUCUUAGUUUUAUACAGUUCGUACACCUGAAUAAUUGCAACUAGACCCAACAUAUCCAUCCAAGGGUCAUUCUCUUUCACAUUAGUUUUAUCAUUUUUUUUAAAAAAAAAUACUGAAAUCCAAGAAGGGUUGUUCACAAACCCUAGCGGUGAGUGUUUCAAUCGGAGGAUGGAGAAUUAUAAUCUUAUUACAAAUUUUUAUGGGGUAUAGAUUUAGCAUUUCCCGUUGUAACGGAGUUGAAUGUAGUGGAGGAGAUCAAUAUGUCACAAAUAUAUAUGAGGUUAAUUUCUUGUGAAAUUUAAAAAGAAAAAAAAUGUAGCUAGGUUUCUAUAUUCUACCUUAUCUAAUUAGUAUGAAAUUUCCCCCCUAUUUGUGUAGUUUAGUUUGUUCCAAUUAAUUAGUUUCAAUCUAAUAUACGUUUAACUGUAUUUAUAAUGUUUUCAAACAAAAAGAUUUUCAAGUUACUCAAAAAGACACAUAUAAUAUAUGUUGGUCAAAAAGACAUAUAUAAUUAAUUUAGAAAACUAAGUGUACUGGAUCAUGAUGCUGCAUAAGAAACAAAUCUAGCCAUUGAAAGAAUCUAUUAAUUUGUGGGCAUUGCAUUUGAUACUCUUCCUCUACGCCAAAUGUUUAGGUGGUGUAUUGUGAAACAUUUUCCUGUGGAAAAAAUAUAUAUAUUCAUGAAAAUGCUUUUUCGAUUAAAAAGUCAAAUUCCUUUUCGUAGCGUGAGUCAAUGAAAUACCACAACUAAUUAAUUCACCUUGUAAAUCACUAUGGACCCUCUAUUUUAUGCAUCUUAUCCAAUUUUUGAAUAUUUUUUAACAGGUGUGUUACAAGCACUUAUUAGGAGAACAUACCCUUCUAUAGUAAAGACCUUGGAGAUAGAUGAUUAAUUAUAAACACAUCAAUUCAAUGGAAAACAAGAAAACUUUUAUACUUGCAAAAUGCUCCUGCUGAAGAUAACCAUGGUUAAAUAUUAAAGAUGCCCAAUAAUGGAGGAAGUGUCAUGAUCAUAAAAAUUGAAUGAGCUAACACUCGAACCUUCUUAGGUGAAUUAUGUAAUGGCGAUCGAGGGACAUGAAGAAUAGUUAGGUACAAUAAUUGUUAUGCAAGGUAUAGCUUGCAUGUUGAUUAAUUGCAUCAAAUUUUCAAAUGUAAUCAAUUAAAGGGAGAUAUAAUUAAUUAAGAUUUCUGUGCGGCGCCUACAGGACUAAUUAAAAAAAUAAAGAAAAAAAAUCACAGAACAUAAUUGUUUCAUAGAUUCAUAAGUUGAGGGGAGUAAUGGCGAUGGGGAAACUUUAGACACUAGAGGCAACCACACUGUCGUAUGCAAAUUUAACCCUACAAAUUGAAUUUUUUUUGUUUGCUAGUAUGCAAGGCAUUUAUUAAUAUUUUGUCUAGUAGUUUGAAGGCUUAUUCUGUGGAGAAACACCUAGUAAUUACGAAAUCCGAGGACCAUUUCAAAAUAGUUAUUUGAGGUCAUUCGAGAGUUAUACUUCGUUGGAAACUGCAUGUCAAUUUUGGUCUUAUCUCACUUAAUUAACAUCGCUCUAGAGUCGUCCAAACUACAUGUCAUCUUACGUAACAUCUCUCUCUCUCUCUCUCUCUCUCUCUCUGUGUGGGGGUUCAGUUGCCUUUCUAUAUGUUCAGCAAAGAGAACCAAAUUAAGAAAAGAGAACUAGCAAUCUACGUAAACAAAUACUAGAUUUUUGUUUGGUUAGUUGUGAGAAGAAAGGUGCUCACUGUGAACAAUCUGCUGAAACGUGGGUGGUGUGGCGAGGAGACUUGUGUUUUCUGUUUGAACGUGGGUGAGACCAUUGAUCACCUCUUCAUGGGUUGUGAUGACACCAAAGCGCUGCUGGAGGUUUUUCUUCCAAAUAAAUCAGGCCUGCGUAAUUGUAUUUCUGCUAGUCUGCUCUGGAAGCUAAGUAGAAGAAAAGAGGGAGCGAUUGGAGGAAAAGAGUCAACAAUCGCCACAACAUGGUGGGUCGUUUGGUUGGAGCGCAAUAGACGAAUCUUCCAGGAAACCAAACGAACGACGAGUUUAUUAGCGUCUGAGAUCCGCUCGCUUAGAAACAUCUAGGAUCUUUUUUGUUAUAUAUAUAUAUAUAUAUAUAUAUAUAUAUAUAUAUAUAUAUAUAUAUAUAUAUAUAUAUAUAUAUAUAUAUAUAUAUAUAUGAUUCUUGCCAAUACCUUCACAGGCCAUAAAGAAGGAAAGGAAUAUUCCCUAUCGGAUCAUCAGAUGCUUAAAAUAUGCUUGUGUGACGAGUUGAGGUGACAUUUUGGAUAUAUUUUUAAUCAAAUUGGGCAACAUUUUGUAUCAUGCUAUGGGCAAAAGAAGAGCACAUCGAAUUUGAAAUCUCAAUAUGUUUGACGCCGUCGUGAAUGCCAGGUAUAUAUGUCUUUUUUUUUUUUUUUCCCCAUUUUUUUUUGCUACGCUUUUAAGGAAAUACCCAUGCGGCUAAUUAAUUAGUGGAAAUUAUUAUAAGGUCUCUCCGUUAAUUAAUAAAUGGAGGACCUUUUUCUCGUAUUAAAAAAUGGAAAGAUUGGUCUCUUACGACUCACAUCAAAUGUCACCCAUUGGAACAAGAAAUCGACCCGAGUGUUUGAUUCUUUUCUUUUCCAUGCUUUAUCAUUGAAAACCCACUAAUUCGGGGGCUAAUUACAACAUUGUUUGUAGGUCCCUAAACAGUUAUUAGUUGUUUCUGCAGUGUUUUCAUAUGAUUUACUAUUCUUAAAACUCUGAAAAUUCAUUUUAACUUUUGCUACUACCAAAACUUUACUUUUGAUUCACAAGUGUUUUAUUUUUAAUGGGUGCAUUAGGGAUGUCAAUGGGUAUGGAACUAUAGAUAUCCGAAAUUUUAUCUGAACCCGAACCCGAACCCAAAUGAAACGGAUAUAUCCGAUGCUAAAUGGAUAUGGAUUCGGAUAUGGAUAUCAAAAAUAGAAACCCGACGGAUAUGAAUUCGAAUAUAGAUUUUGACUGCACCCGACCCGAACUCGAACCCGAUCCGAACCCGAAUUUAUUUUGUAUUAUAUAAUAUAUAUACCCGACCCGAACCCGAACCCGACCCGAACCCGAAUUUAUUUUGUAUUAUAUAUAUAUAUGAUGUUAUAUUUGAAUUUGUAUUUUAAAAAUUUAGAUUUAAUAUAAUGUAUUUUGAAAUACUAAAAAGAAAAAUAAUUGUUUCGGGUUCUAAUUUUCGGGUUCGGGUUCGGGUUCGGGUUUCGGAUUUUUGGUCGGAUUCGGGUUUGGAUAUGAAUUUUUAAAAUCNAUGUUUUAAUAUCUUCUUCAAAGUUUUGUCAUUAUUUUAAUGUGGUUGAAAUAAGAUCGAAUUUUUUGCAACUUUGGAUUCGUUUGAAGCAAAAUCUCUCAAAAUUAAGGAAUUAAUUAUAUAUGGUUGCAAUACAUUUGAGUUUUAUUAGUACAAUGGAGGUCGAGGGCUUACCAUGUAAUCUCAUAGGGCUAUGAUGAAAUAUAUCAAUAAACUCUUUUUUCUACAAUUCUUUUGAGAAUUAUCACAACCUCUUAAUUAGCCAUUUUCAUUGAUUUUUGCUUAGUCAUUUACCUUCCAUAAAUUUUCAAAAGAGUUUAAAAAAUGACCAAAAUGAAAAUCACAACAUGGCACAAGCAAUAGCCAGCCACUAACUACACUACAUCGAUCGUACCUUAAGGGACCUUAAGAUAUUUUAAUAUACUUUAUUCUUUAAAUCCAUGAAAUGUGAAAAGUUCUGAAAAAUCUGCAAAAGUUUAAACAAAAAUAAAACAUCCAAAAAAAUCUGUAGAAAGUUUGUACAAAUUCUAAACCUAGUUUUAAACCUUUUGGUGUGUCCAUAAUAAAGUUCCUUAGAAAGUUCAUAAAAAUGCCUCCUCUAUUUAAUUGAACGCACAUUGCCCACGAGGCGUAAGUAGACAGUUCGUAAUCUAGCUGCUUUGCAUCAUCAGAAGUGCUAACAUAGAACUAGAUAGUGGAGUAGUGGGUUUAUAUUAAUUGUGGAGUUCAUGAUAACUAGUUUUUAGGAGCACAUGUGUAGUCGAUGCAGUAGAGAACAUAUAUUGAUCGAGUUGGAUUUUCUAGAUACUCAAAUUUUAUUCUUCUAUGGGAAUUCUUGUUUAUAAGCUUGUAAUUUACCAAGGUUGUGGGUUAUCUUGACCCUUAAGUUUUAUUCUUCUAUUUAGAUGAUUAGAGGAGGGAGAGGAAAGAAGAAAUAUUGGCUCAAUUUCAUUAACGAAUUGAAUUAAACAGAUUAUAAUUAGAGGUCCAAAUUAUAAUUAAGGCUCGGACUCCUACUCCGAUUAUGAUAGAACAUAAUAAGUGCUACCCAUAUCAGUAGUGAUACUCCUCUAAAUAUGUACUUUCUUUUUAUGGAAAGUAAAUCCAACUACAUCGUAUCUGAAAAGAGCAAAUGGAGUAUAUCGAAAAUCAACAAUUAAACAAGCUCCUAGUUUCUUUGAAAUGAAAUGAUAUUUAUGAUUGAAGUUUUUUAUAAAUAGAAUUUCUAAGUUUGACCGCAAAUUCAUAGGUCUAAACAACCUUCUUCGAUUGCCUCGAAAUUGUUUAUCAUGAUCUAAGGUUUUAUAAAUAGGAAUUCUAAGUUUGGCAGCAAAUUCAGAGGUCUAAACAAUCUUUGAUUGCCUCGAAAUUGGUAACGAACUUAGUCAGUCUUUAAUUUCGCACUAUGUUCGACCGUUGCGCGCCGUAGCUUAUACUCCUUGACCUGCGCACAUCGAUACAAAAGUCCCCUUGAUCAAAAACCAUGGGAACAAGAUAUAGUCUUUGAACGUUGAUGGCCUUUCCUGCGUAAGUUCUCGUCAAGUUGAUUGAGCCUGAUCACUUAGCCUCGAUGUCUCUGUCGAAACCAGACCUAACCAAUUACACCCUCAAUUUGGGAAGCUAUUCCCUCAUCAAUCCUUCUUGUGUUCAUGAAAUGGAGAAAAACCGAUGAAGCGUUUUGAGGGUAGUAAUGAGAGUAGAUCGACAUCGGCUUGAUGAGGACAUUGGCAAUGGCGGUGUGGACAAUGAGGAGGAUUGAUCGCAAUCGGCGAGUACGACGAGCAGCGAUGUGAUUGGGAAUCAAACUCUGAUAAUAAUUGUUAGGGUUGGUUGAUUCCUAAUGCUCUUGCAGCUAAUUGGGCCUUUACGAGGUGGUAUUCCUACUUCUAGUUUAUGAGUAAUCAAAUUAACUAUGCUACUCUUAAUUGCUGGCUUAGAUGGGUCGGCAUCAAACAGUUCUACAAGUGGUAUCAGUGCAGGUCAUGGGUUCAAUUGCCGUACGCUACAAAUUUAUGCUCGUGUUUCGGAGGAGGGGAGAUUACUGGCUUAAAUGGGCCAACAUCAAGUAAUUGUGGGAGAUUGGGCCAAAUUACAUUUAAAACGGCAGAAGGCCGAGUAGAGCUGACUCACGUUUCAAGUGUCUAAAGACCGUGUUAGUCAGAGUUACAAUCAAAGCCAGGUGCUAUAUGCAUUUACACUUUAAGUGAAUUAGUUGCGUUGAUCUUUAGUUGCAUUAUUUUUUCUAAUAGCGCGAACUUGUAGAAUUAAUGAUUAGGUCCAACAAUCCUAUAUUAAUUAAUUUAGAAGCACGAUUACAUGCAAUCAUCCUAUUUUAAUGGCCCAAAUAUCAUAGAGUUCUGGUAUUAUAAGGAAUCUUAAUAAAGAACUUUGUGUAAUAAGAGUUAUGGUAGUAAUUAAGAUACUGUUAAGACUAAUACUACAAUUUGUACCAGACACGUUGGCCAAUCCGUAUCGUGAUAUAUUUCUAAUAAAAAUAUUGACCAAGUAUCACUAUAAGAAAAUUAAUAUUUAAGGAUUUUUUUUAUAUUUAACGAUACUUAAAAGCGUCCUAAUAUAGUGUAGUGUCAUAUUUGAAAGAGUCGAUUAAAACAUCGGUAAAUGAAGAGUCGCCACGUAUAUCGUCAAGCAUCAGUAAAAUAUAUUCUAAUGCUUUAAAGUAUCAGAAGUUUUUAAAAUCCUAAUGCUUUGAAGCAUCAAAAAAUUAAAAAUAAUAAUAAAAUUUAUUAUUUAAUAAAUUAAUUUAAUAUAAUAAAAAAUUCAUAUAGUGAUACUUUUUGAAAUGUCGGUAUUUACUAUAUUAUAGAGACGCUUGGAAAUAAAUAUAUGUCAUCCAAAAUAUCUAUCUAGUUCUAGGUGCGGUACAAGAUAGGAAUUAACCAUUAGAUAAAUAUAGGUACCCAUCAAAUAUAGAUUGAAAAUUUAAUCCGCUAAAAAUAUAGUAAUCGAACUCAUGAGGCUUAGAAUUAGUUCUUAUCAUGUUACACGAAAGAUAGAAUUUAUUUAUGAGAAUAUUCAUAUGACAAAAACUUAAUACUUUUUUAUUUUACAAUUAUAGUACAUAGUGUGAAAAAUUACUACAACAAAAACGGUCUAUAGCAACAUUUUUAAAUGUCGGUACAGGUCAAAAAAAAGACUGCCGCCUAAAUUACCGACAUUUUUAAAAACUGUUGCUAUAUGUGGGAUCGCUAGGUAUAUAAUAACAGUUAAAGAGUGUCGCUAUAACCUAACAAAGUGCUGCUAAUUUACAAAUAUUUAUUUAAGCAUUUAGCAGCCGCCGGAACUCUACCUCGUUGGCCGCGGUGGCGAAGGAGGACGAGAGGAAGAGAUCUUCGUUUAGGAUUUCAGUCGAUUGAGUGAGGGGAGAAGGAGAAAUGAUAAUCGAUUUUUCUUCUCUUUUUCUUUUCUGUUUGUAAUCGGGCUGAAUGGGCUGGGUGGGGUGGGUUGAAUAGAAUAACCUUUUAUUUUUUGUUGAAUUGAACUUUAUAUUUAGACAUUAGUAGAUUUUUUUUUAAGUUUUGACAUAAAUUAAAAACUUACACAAAAAUGUUCCAAACAUGUGUCCCUAUAAUCUAAUUCUGUUGUACUGAAUUGAAAUACAAUCUCCCACAAAAUAGCAGAUGGUAGCAACUGCCAUGCUCCUCGAUCGGAGAAAGAACUUAACUAAGAUUUUCUUUGCCUGUACGUUAUUAAUUUCUACUUUACAAAUAUACAUAGCAACUAUAUAUAUAAAGAGAGAGAGGGUUGAGCUGGAAUAUUACUAUCGGUAGUAAACGUGCUCCAUUACCACCUAUUUGUUUUCAAUAAUGGAGCUUCCAAAUCGACGAUUGGUACCGUUGAAAAAUGAUCUAUACUACUUAAAGUAUCUAGAAAUCAAAUUUCAUACUUUUUCAAUAUUAUAUUCUUGUCCAUCAAGUAGGCGUAAAAAUGAACGACUGAAAAUGGCUAUCCUCUAAAAAGUGAUGAUAGGAAUUUUCUAAUCAAGAUCGAGAGUAUAGAUCUUGGUCUAAAUAGUUUAAAUAAUUUUCUUAUCAAAACUCAAUUGAUUUGGAUAGCUUUACACCGUUAAACGAAAAAACGUCUCAUAUCGACCAUUAAAAUUACAAAUUUUGUAAUCCUUUGAUCAUUUGGUCAAUGAUAUCAAAAAGAUUUGAAAUUUGGUUUCCAGAUACUUCAAGCGAUAUAGAUCAUGUUCAAUGGUGUCGAUCAACGAUUUGAAGGUUCUAUCAUCGAAAACAAAUGGGUGGCAACGGAGCCCGUUUACUACCGUUAGCAUUCCAGCUCAACUAUAUAUAUAUAGUGUAGAGCUACUAUGCUAUCAGAAGUAUAGAGGGUUUUAUGCUUCCGACUUUUUGACCCUUGGAUUAAGAAUUGUACGAUUGGGAAGAUUGCGGUCCCCCGUAGGGUUGAGUAGUACCCCUAGGAUUGAGUGAUCCCCACAGUAAUAGAAGUAAUCCAAAGGCUAGAAAUAAUCAAAGAGAUUAAUCUAAGGGCCAAAAAGUCAGAAGCACCGGAUCCUCUGUACUUCCGAUAGCAUAUUAGCUCUACUCUCUCUCUCUCUCUCUCUCCAUAUAUAUAUAUAGAGCUAGGCUGGUAUACUAUCGGUAGCAUGGAGCCCUCCGUGCUACCAAGUUGUACUCAUAAGUUUUUGGCCGUUUGAUCUACCCUUUAAUCAUUUCACCCGUUAUAUUAUACUAUUCAACCAACCACCUACUCAACCCUAGGGGGCCCACUAUCAACCUAACCGUAACCACUUUCAUCCUAUCCGCACAUUUUUUCAUCUGAACGGCCGAAAAGUUAUAAGUACAAAGGGCUCUAUACUCAUAUGAGUAUAAUAGCCCCAGCCUAUAUAUAUAUAUAUAUAGAGAGAGAGAGAGAGAGAGAGAGAGUAGGUCUUGUGUGCUUUUGGGAAUACGGAGGCAUCCGUGCUUCUAUGCCAUUUUCGACGAUGGAGCUUUUGAAGCCAUGAUCUGCUCUAUUAGACUUGAUUUAGUGGAUUUGAAGUACCUAGUGAUCGAAAUGGUUUAAAGUCAACGGCUGAAAAUAAAAAUCUCAUAAAAAAUGACGAUAUAAUACUAAAAUUUUCGAUCAAAGAUAUUGAUCUUGCAGUAAUAGUAUAAAAAAUUUUCUAUAAAAAUUUCGACUGAUUUGAAGUUAAACGUGCAAACGAUAUACGUCAACCAUUAAAAAUUGUUGAUUUUUAAUCCUUUCGAUCACUAGGUAAAUGAUAUCAAAAAUCGUAAAAUUUAUUUUCUAAAUACUUCAAAUAUAUUAGAUCAAGUCUAAUGGAGCAGAUCGUCGAUUCGGAAGCUCUAUUAUCAAAAACAGCUUAGGAGCACAGAGGCCUCCGUACUUCUAACAGCACACAAGACCUACUCUAUAUAUAUAAUUGAGCUCCUAUACUCUUAUGGUAUUAAGUUAUUGGUGUUUGUAAGUUUUCGGUCCAUGGAUUAAGAGAUGUACAGUUAGAAUAAUAGUGGUCAUCAAGGGUUGAGUGUUGGUUGGUUGAGUAAUAUGAUCAAAUAGAUAGAAAUGAUCAAAAGAAUAGCUCUAACGGUAAAAAUUACAAGUANUAUGAUCAAAUAGAUAGAAAUGAUCAAAAGAAUAGCUCUAACGGUAAAAAUUACAAGUACUAAGUGCUUGGUGCUUUUAAAAGCAUCAUAGCCAAUAUAUAUAUAUUUAUAUAUAUAUAUAUAUAUAUAGAGAGAGAGAGAGAGAGAGAGAGAGAGAGAGAGAGAGAGAGUUAAGCUGAAAUGCUAUCAUUAGCAAACAGACUCCGUGGCCACCCUUUUUUUCAAUGAUGAAGCCUGUAAAUCGAUGAUCGACAGUAACUCGCAAAUACCAGGCAAUAUGAGACUCAUCUCACUGACCUUAAUCGAUCUUGUAAGAGAGCCGCGCUUUACCCACAACAGUCAUCAACAUAAGAGUCUCACUCUUUCUGCUGUAUUACGGGACUCAGCCGAGACUCAUCAUACACUUACGACCGGUAAUUAGCUCUGAUAUCAAUUAUGACGCUCCACUUCCUAUGGAUCAUCUAUCUUAAAACUAUUCUAGUCCUAACACACUUAACAAUUUUAAUCUUUUGGGCCUAACUGUCGCCCAAAAUUAUAUAGCCGAGUUAAUAAUUUUUAACCUUAUUAUAUCUUAUAUAUAGGAUUACUUGUUCUCACAUUAAAAAUAUUGAAUUUAAACAUUUACCAACAUUAACUUUUUUAAACAGUAAGAUAAAAUAACACCUUUAUCUUUUAUUAACCAAUGAUUAAUUCUUUUUAUUUUUUAAAAAAUAAAGUACCGAAUUUUUUCUCAAUAUCAAAUCCAUAAAAAUACUCGUCCAUGGGCCUACCUCAUGAAUUAUUUGUGUACUUGACACGCGCGAUAAUGACCCACAAUUAAUGAGUCACCAUCACCUCUCAAAUUGAAGUUGGCCCCAUUACAGAUCUAGGAAAGAAGAACCUUACUUCUCUCCACCCAACUCCCAAAAAUACUUAAAACUUUAUAAAAAUUAGGAUUCGGAUGUUAUAAUUGCUUUUUGUUGCCUUCUUCGAAAUAGCUUGCCCUUGUCGACGUGCCGUAUCCACGAAAAAUCUGUAUGAUUUAUCACCGCAUGUUUUUCAGGUGCGUCGGGCGGGAUGGAGCUUGAUGCAAAGUGAGGAAUCCACAAAAGAAAUAAAUAAGAGAUAAAAUCUCAAAAUAUAAGCUGGUUUAUUAAUUCAUGCAACUUCAAUUUUAGUACCCUUUUUUUUUUGGCAUGCAUGUGCUCUGCUCUAAAACUCUCCAAAAUAGCACAAGGCUCAAGUCACGCAAAAGUCCUAAGAUAUGCGCACAACCCACUGCGAACAGAAAUAACAGCUUAACGAGUUGAACAUAUAAAAUUCUAAAAAGAUUCUAAAGAAAAGUGAAGGAUAAUACAACAUAUGCAUCUUGCAGUUGCAUUGAGUUUUGCACAGCAUUAUACAAACUCUGAACUUUGCAACGCCUUGUACAAACUCCGAACUGUGUUGCACAAGUAAAAUUUUUAGGCGUACACAGAUACUGCACAGAGUUGCACAAUUGUUCCACAAAGUUGCAUUAGUUUAUCGCUGUAUUUGUACAAGUACUCUAAACUAGGGGUAUCAACGAGUCAAACACAUGCUGACUCGUAAAAAUAUUGAGUCAAAAAAUUUAGCUCGUAUUAGGCUCAUUUAUUAAUGAGCCAAAGCCGAGAUUGCUUACAAAAGUUAAAAAAAUUAAAAAGAAUAUAUAUAUAGAAAAUAAAAUUUUUAGAUCUUACCUAUUAAAUUUUGACGUAAUUCUUAAAAUUUUAUAUAUAAAUGAGCUUUUUCAUAAUUGAGUUGUGAUUUAGGUUAGACUAAAAAUCAAAUAAUAAAAAUUUAUAUUAUCUAUAUAUAAUUAUGUAUUAUUUAUAUAUAUAAAUAUAAAAUAUAUGUAUUUGAGCUAUUAACGGGCCGAACGCAAGCGAGCUGAUCCAGCUCAUAUUCGGCCCAUUUAUUAAACGAGCUGAAAAAUUCAACUUAUAUUCGGCUCGUUUACUAAACAAGCUAUUCGAUAUCAAGCUCAUUUCGAGCGAACACAAACUGGCUCGCAAACAACGAGCUGAAUUUCCACCCCUAACCCAAUCUGCUAUGGCGUCACCCCCUCCGAAGCAGCACAAACUUCUCAAGGAAGGAAGGUAUAAUAAACCGUUCCUCACUUCUUUAAUAUUAGUACAUUAUAUUACACUAUCUAUUACCAUAAAACUUCAAGCUACCCCACAACAUCAUAAUGGAUUUGAAAGUAAAUUUCAAACUAGGAAGAUUAUUCUUAUUUUUAAAUUGUGCGUAAUUAAAUCUCACAUCCAACCAAUCCAAAAGUUUAGCGAACUCUUUUAAAUUUUUAAUAUUAAUAAAACUAAAAAGUGAUGAGACUCAAGUGCAUGAAAAAAGAGCUUUUGGAUGAAGAAUAUAUAAAAUUUAUACCCACUUUUAGGUGUAACCAUUGCUCUUUCAUUUUUGUCCGCAUACCGAAUAAAAUACAAUUCAAGCAAAAUAACUAAUCAUACUAUCUAAAAAAUAUAUACAUGUCAAAAUAAUAACUACUAUUAUUAAAAAUUAAUGAUAAUAAUAAUUAUAUUAUAUAUAUAUAGAGAGAGAGAGAAUAGGGCUACUGUGCUCUUAGUAGUACGGAGGCCUCCAUAGUCCUAAACCAUUUUUCAUCAUAAAAUUUUCGGAUUGACUAUCGACUCCGUUAGACUUGAUCCAAUGUGUUUGAAGUACAUCGAAAAUAAAUUUUAUCAUUUUUUUGAUAUCAUAAACCUAGUGAUCAAAAAAUGUUCAAAAUUAAUGACUGAAAAUAAAAUCUCAAAGAAAUUAAUGAUAUAACAUUAAAAUUUUCGAUCAGAGAUAUUCAUCUUGUUGAAAAUCGUAUAAAAAUUUUAUAUCAAAAUCUCAUCUGAUUUGAAUACUUCUACAUCGUUAAACUUGAAAACGACAUACAUCAACCAUUAAAUAUUAUUAAUUUUGAACCCUUUCGAUCUCUAGGUAUGUAAAUAAUAUCGAAAAAUCAUAAAUUUUAUUUUAUAGAUUUUUCAAAUACAUUAGAUUAAGUCUAAAUAAGUUGAUCGUCGACUCGAAAGUUUUAUCAUCGAAAAUGAUUUAGGAGUACAGCACUCUUACUCUCUCUCUCUCUAUAUAUAUAGAAUUAUGCUACUAUAUAUACUAUCGAUCAUAUCAAGGCUUGAUAGUAUUGAGUUUUUGGCCGUUGGAUGAAAGAAUGUGCGGUUAGGAUAAUAGUGGUCUAUAUAUAGAAUUAUGCUACUAUACUAUCGUACCAUACGUUUAGUACUAUCGAGUUUUCAACCGUUGGAUAAAAAGAUAUACGAUUAUAAUGAUAAUAGUCCCCUAGAGUUGAGUGGGUGGUUGGUUGAAUAGUAUAGUCUAACGUAUAAAAAUGAUUAAAGAAUAAAUUGAACAGCAGAGAAUUUGAUAGUAUCAAAAGUUUAAUAUUAUCGAUAGUAUAGUAACACAAUUUUCCCUCCCCUCUCUCUCUCUCUCUCUCUCUCUCAUCUUCUCUUCAUCUCCGUCCUCACUCUCUCUCUCUCCUCUCGCCCCUUCUCUCACCUCCCUAUAAUAUAUAAUAGUAUAUUAUAUAGUAUAUAUUAUAUUUAUAUAUAAAAUUGAGGUUCUAUGCUUUUAAAAGUACCAAAGUUAUUGCGUGCUUUAUAGAUUUUUGGCCAUUGGAUUAAGGAUGAGCCUCGUGGUUAGGAUGACGUGGGCCUCGCUAGGGUUGAUGUGGGUGGUUGGCUUGAAAUAGUAUAAAUGUAAGCGAUUUGAUAAAUGAUCAAAGGAUAAAUCUAACGGUUAAAAAUUUUACAAGCGCAAAGUGUUGAGUGCUUUUAGCAAGCCACCGUAGCGCGAGUUCUAUAUAUUAUAUAUAUAUAGAGGAGAGAUGAGACGAGAGAGAGAGAGGAGAGAGAGAGAGUUGAAGGUAGAUACUAUCUGAUAGCAAACGAGGCUUUCAUUGCCAUCAUGUUGUUUUCGAUGAUAUGAGCUCCAAAUCGACGAUCGUACCGUUGAACAUGAUUCUAUUUACCACUGAGUGUUAGAAUCAAAUUCAAAUCUUUUUCGACAUCAUUUAUGCCCUAAUGAUUCAAAGGGUUUCAAAAUUUAUAAUUUUAAGGCAUAAUAUGAGACGUUUCUCGUUUACAGAUAAAAGAUAUCCCAAAUCAAAUUAAUUUUGUUAGAAAAUUCUUUAAAUUGUUUAAAAAAGUAUCUAUACUCUUAUCUUAACUACAGCUCCUUAUCAUCAUUUUUAAAAAUAUUUAUUUUCAGCCGGUCAUUUUUGUGUCACUCGAUGAUAAGAGAAGCAAUAUCGUAAAUAUAUAAAAUUUGAUUUCUAAAUAAUUUCAAGUGGUAUAGAUCAUAUUCAACGGCUGCCGCGAUUAUUGAUUGAAGACUCCAUCAUUGAAAACAAUAUGAAGUGGCAACAGACGCGUUUGCUACGCGGAUAGUAUUUAGCUCAACUAUAUAUAUUACUAUAUAUAUAUUAUAUAUAUUAUAUAUAAUAUUAUAUAUACUAUAAUAUAUAUAUAUAUAUAUUAUAGAAAAUUAGCUGGACAAUAACUAUUAUAGUGAAAAGCUUGCUUUUUGGCUAUCACAGUUUUUAACCUCUUGAUGAAAAUUCUAAAGUCAGGAUUGAUAUUAGUCGUUAGGUUGAGGUGGUCCCCACUGGGUUAUAGUAUUUAAAUCCAAUGGUUAGAAAUAAUGAAAAGAUUGCAUCCAAAGGCUUAAAACUGUAGAACAUGGAAUUUUGCCUACUAAUAGUGCCCAUUCCAGACACUCUUAAUAUAUUAUAUAUAUAUAUAUAUAUAUAUACUAUAUAUUAUUAUAUAUAUAUAUAUAUAUAUAGAGAGGACGAAGACGACGAGAUCAUGAGAGAUGAGCACAGCUCGACCGUCCAGGCCCGAUUCUUCCACGGCCCCAUCUGUUCUGUCUUCUGCUCAGCUUCGUUCCUCAUCCUCGGCUCCUAGCGCGAAGACCACUUCGGAUCUGCCGCUCGAUUGACAUAGAGCCGCGUCGUCCUCGGGGCCUCCUCGUCUGCGUAUCGGGGGCCCUACUUUUCGCCCUUCGAGACCGGAGAGAGAGAGAGAGAGAGAGAGAGUUUGACUGGGCUACUAUUGGUAGUAAACUGCUCGGUUUACUACCGAUUUGUUUUUGAUGAUAGAGCUUCCAAAUCGACGAUCGGCACCGUUGAACAUGAUCUAGACCAUUUAAAUUAUCUAGAAAUCAAAUUUCAUAAUUUUUUGGCAUCACUAACUGAACGAUCAAAGGGUCACAAAAUCUAUAAUUUUAAUAGCUGAUAUGGUGCGUUUGCUCGUUUCACGGUAUAGAAAAAUUCAAAUAAACUAAAUUUUUGUGAAAAAAUUCUUUAAACUAUUUAAAAUAAGAUCUAGACUCUAGAUCUCAAAUAUAAAAAUUGUAUCAUCACUUUUUGAAGGAUAUUCAUUUCCAGCCAUUAAUUUAUCUGUUCACUUGAUGGACAAGAGAACAAUAUCGAAAAUUAUUGAAAUUUGAUUUCUAGAUAAUUUAAAUGGUCUAGAUCAUGUUCAACAGUGCCGAUCGUCGAUUUAGAAGCUCUAUCAUCAAAAACAAAUCGGUAGUAAACCGAGCAGUUUACUACCGAUAGUAGCCCAGUCAAACUCUCUCUCUCUCUCUCUCUCUCUCUCUCUCUCUCUCUCUCUCUCUCUAUAUUUAUAUAUAUAUAUAUAUAUAGUCCGGCUAUGGUGCUUGUAAAAGCACAAAACACUUAGUGCUUGUAAAUUUUUUAUCAUUAGAUCUCUCCCUUUAAUCAUUUUUAUCCAUUGGAUUAUACUAUUCAACCAACCGCCCACUCAACCCUAGAGAUCUCACAUCAUCCUAACCGCACAUCCCUUAAUCCAAGGGCCGAAAAAUUAACAACCACCAAUGACUUAAUACUUUUGAAAGCAUAGGAGCUCAAUUCUAUAUAUAUAUAUAUAAAGAAUUAAGCUCCUAUACUUUUAAAAGUAACAAGUUAUUGGUGCUUGUAAAUUUUUAGCCAUUGGAUCAAGAGAUAUGCGGUUAGGAUGAUGUGAACCCCCUAGGGUUGAGUGGGUGGUUGAUCGAAUAGUAUAAUCUAAUGGUUGAAAAUGAUCUGAAAAAUAGAUCUAACGGUAAAAAACUUACAAGUACCAAAUGCUUGGUACUUUUACAAGCACCAUAGCUGGACUAUAUAUAUAUAUAUAUAUAUAUAUAGGCAGGAGAGAGCGGAGAGAGAGAGAGAGAGAGAUGAGAUGAGACAGACGAGAGAGAGAGAGAGCGAGCGGCCUAGGAAUGUUAUGGAAGCACGGAGGGCUCGCGUGCUUCCACUGUUUUCGAUAGUUUGGACUUUCGAAUCGACGAUCGGCUUCGAUUAGACCUGAUCUAGAGUAUUUGAAGUACCUAGAAAUAAUUUUUGCGAUUUUUCCGAUAUCAUUUGCCUAGUGAUCGAAGUGGCUCAAAAAAUAAAAAUCUUACAAAAUAGUGAUGAUAUGACAUUAAAUUUUUAGAUCAACAGUUAUUGAUCUUAGUUUUAUAUGGUAUAAAGAAUUUUUCUAUCAAAAUUUCAUGCGAUUUGGAUAUUUCUACACCGUUAAACUUGCAACCGGCUUACCACGGCCAUAAAAUUAUUGAUUUGAACCCUCGAUCACUAGGCACAAUGAUAUUGAAAAAUCACAAAAUUUAUUUUCUAGAUACUUCAAAUAUCUAGAUCAACUCUAACGGAGCCGAUCAUCAAUUCGAAAGUCGAACAUCGGGAAACAACUUAAAAGCACGGAGGGCUCGUGCUUCUAUAAACAUACCAGCCCAUAUUAUAAUAUAUAUAUAUAUAUAUAUAUAUAUAUAUAUAUAUAUAUAUUAUAUAUAUUAUAUAUAGAGGGUGGAAUACUAUAAUAGUAAAAACACUUUUUUUACUAUCAAGUUUUUAACCUUGGAUAAAAAUUGUACGGUCAGGAUGAUAUUAUGUCGCGUUAGAGUUAAUGGUCCCCCUAGGGUUGAGUGGUCUCUACGGGGUAUAGAUUUAUAUCCAAUGGUCAGAAAUAAUGAAAGAGUUGAUCCAAUGGCUAAAAACUGCUAGCAACAUAGAAUUUGUACUAAUGUAUCCCAGUUCACUCCUCUCUCUCUCUCCUCCGUCUCUCGUCUCUCUCUCUCUGAUAUAUAAUAAUAUAUAUAUAUAUAUAUAUAUAUUUUCUUAUGCUUUCCCAGCAUCAAUUUCGAGGAAAGGAACAUCACGAAGCAACUACCGGGCCGUUCACAGAACGACUGGCAGGUUGUACUAGAACGAGUGGGUGCCACUACCGCAUGCCAUGUGACUGCACCAAUGACGCGAUUAUUCCCGAUUGCGACGCCUCAUUUUGGUGGAUUCAGAUCUACAGCCCCCACCUCACUUGCAUUAUUGGCAUCUUAAUUAAUUUAUCUCCCCAGCUUAAAUCUAAGGAAAAAAAAAAAAGAAUCUCCCAAAAAAAAGAAUCUAAGAUAUAGUAUUCGUGAUGUCAAGUUUGAAGAAGCCUCGUUAUUUCACAUUUUCAACUAUAUUUAUUUAUUAAAAUUAUGAACUUAGCAUACCAUCUUUUUCUCUUAAAUAAAAAAUUAUUUUUUUGAUUCACAGUCUCUAAUUAGUUUCGAAUGCCUUUUAUUUGACUAAUUAUUGAAACAGUGAUUUUCGAUGCAUUGAUUUUGUUCGGAGAGUUGCUGUUAAGCGAAAACUUGUAAAAUAUUUGGCUGAUGAAUCUGAUAGAAAAAUAAAUUUUGCUUAAAAUAAUUUUGUCUAGACGUUUGAGAAACUCUUCUUUUGUUGUUUUCACAUAAUAAUUUUUUGUGUCGAAUUUUAUUUUAUUUUAUUUUUAAAAUUAUAACUUAAAGUCUAAAUUUAGAUCUAAAUUAAAAUUAGCAGGGAUAAUAAACAAGCCCUGAUGUUUAACAUAAGUAGCACCAAAUUAAUUAGCACACACCUCAUGGCGAUUCCUUCUUUGGUUUUUUUUUUUUUUUUUUUUUGAUUAGUCUAUUAUUGAGCUCUACGUUUUCUUAGGCCUGUUUGGUUUGUGUGUAAAUCUUUUUGCUAUAAUUUUUUUUAUUUUUAGAAUAACUUGUUAUUUUAGGAUAGUCACAAAUAAAAAUAAAACUAUGUUUGGUUUAUAAAACUGUUGUUCUCAGUAAUAACUAAAAAUUUUUUUUUUUUUUGAGAGAUAGGUAGCACGCUACCCGCUUCGUUUAUUUCAUUUAGAAAUAAACUUAGCUGGAAAUGUGAAUCAAUUAGGAUUCGAACUUGGGUCCUGGGUACCAACUAAAAUUAUGUUUGGUUAAUUUUGUAGAGGAGUAGAGAAAAGUAAAAAAUAUAUAUAAUUAUUAAAUUUUUAGAGCGCCAAGUUUGCCCUUCCCUUUUAUCUAAAAAAUAUGCUUAUACUUCGCAAAAAAAAGAUAUAAUUAAUAUAAUACUAUAUAAAGAAACAUUUGAACUAUAUAUACGUACCCAUCGUUUCCAUUAACCUAUUAUUAAUCAAGUAUCAUGCAUUUUUGAAGUUCUUUCCACACAAUUCAAAUCAUUCGUAUUUAAUUAGUAUUGGCUAAUACCAUCUCACUAAAUCUGGUUUCGUUAGAGGUUGCUUUUAUGUUGAAUGCGAGAUACCCAUUCUAAUUAAUAAAGCAUGUAUUUAGCAAUUAAUCUGUUAAAAUUCACUACUUUAUGUAUUUGAACUCUGAUGGAAUUACAAAUUUUCAUCAACUAUUAACGAUUUUUAGCCAAUAAAAUAAUUAACUAAAACAAAUUUGUAACUCAACUAAGAAAAAUAACUUACGUAAGCUUGAAGAGAAGGCCUUUAUUUUUAAUAUCCAAUUAAAAAUUUUUCACGUCACACACAAGCACAAGAACAAUUUUUUUGCAACUAUUAUUUUCAGAUAAAAUUAUCAUAUUAUUCUUUAUUAAACUCUUUACUAUCUUAUGUGGCGAAUAUAAUUAAUUUUAGAUAUAUCUAUAUGAUAUUGCUGCGCUAUAGAAAAGAUUUUUUAUAUUUUGUAGGUACUCUUUUGAGUUUCUCUAGUUGCAUUGCUUAGGUCUAAAGGUAACAAUUCCAAGAGUUCUUAAAUAUAUAGCAAGUUAUCCAACCAGCUACCCGCUUCGUUUAUUUUAUUAAUGUUAAAUAUAAAAAUGUUUAAACACCGUUAUCUAACAGCUUAAGCUUUUAGAGUACAACGGUUGUUUCACAUGGUAUCAGAGCAGGAGGUCCUGAGUUCGAGUCACGCCAGACUCCUAGCAUAUUAAUUUCCUCCCAUUUAAUUCAAGCCCACGUCAUGGGCUGAUUAAAAAGUUUCGAGCCCAGACGUGAGGGGGAGUGUUAAAUAUAAAAAUGUUUAAAUACCGUUAUCUAACAGCUUAAGCUUAAUAAACUUUAACUGAAAAUGUAAAUCAACUAGAAUUCGAACUUGGAAUCUCAGGUACCAAACAACAAACCCUUUACCACUUACGUACUCAAGAUCUUAUUCAAUGCCAUAAAUAUGCACAAUUAAACUUGACAAAUUUUCUACAACAAUAUAUAUACUCUAUAUUUAUAUAUUCUCACAAUAUGAUAAAUCACUUUAAUCUAUAGUUCAUGAAACGUCAAAAUUAAUUGUUAAGAUUUCAUAAUAGUCAAAAAUGUAUAUCUUCGGCUACACAUAAUAUCACCAUGCCAGUUCGAUAAGUUGCUCCCACAUCCAAAUUAAUCCUUAUGCUCUAUAUGGGAAGUAACAAUUAAGUUACUUAGCAUUUCGAGUGUGUUAUUUUCCAAUGCACAAUAAAUGGUAUAUAUUUCAAGCUUAAAAGGCCACAAGUGUAGCUAUCCAAUGUUACACAUAAUCUCCUCUCUUCUAAAGAAGAUGCCAAUUGAAGCCGCAGCAAAUUAAAGGAUAAGAAUGAGUAGAAACUAUAGAAAGAAGAAGACCACACGCCACAAAGUGUUUGAAUGCAACAAACUUAUACAAUAUAAAAACAUGUGAUGUUACGCAUAAAAACUUUAUGUUGAAUGCGACAGCCGAUAACUAGCUAGCUAUUUUCAUGUAAGUCUAAACUCAAAUGAAAGAUGCACUAAAGGCUUAAUUUGAGUAUAUAAUUUGUCACUGGUAGCAAAAGGAUAGAUUUGUAAGCCUUAUUAUUAGUAAUAUUCAUUGCUUGUAACAAAAGGGUGAAAUGUAUGAAUGCCUUUGACGAUUCCUAUGCUAUCCCCAUAAUGGACUUUUGUUUCUGAUCAUUAAAAGAAAUUAGACUUUUAAGCAAAAUGACAAGCUAAAUAAGCAAAUUAUUAUGAUAGAUCCAUAAAACAAAAAAUAAUUAGAUAUUUUUCUAUGUUAGGAGAUAUAAAUAUUUUUAUGAAAAGUAUAUAUAGCAAGUAGGAACUAUUGGGAGGAUAGCUAGGACAAGUACUAUAUAUCCAUAAAUUUUACCUUUAGCUAAGAUAGCAAGUUAAUUGUGACAUGAAAAAUGAAACGGAUCGCGUCCUAACAAUAUUUCGUCACAUAAUUUAUCAAAACUUACUAGCUUUCAAUUAGAUGUAUCAAUUAAAUCUUUUCUUUCUUCUUUUUUAGUGUGAAGUAAGAGGCCUAGUGCCCUUUGCAUCUCUCUCUCUCUCUCUCUCUCUCUCUCUCUCUCUCUUUAGAGUCAAGCAAACCUAUUUUCACAAGUUAAUGUCACAUAGUGCUUCCUCAAAAUUGGCCAAUCCUACCAAACAACAUUAAUGCAAGGGAUAAGAUUCCCAAUCCUUUUCCCAAAGUCCUGGGUCAGGUAUAGUGUGAUAGAUCAACAAGAUUUGGCAUGUAGUGAAUUCACAAAUUAAUUGAGAGGUGCCACAAAGGUGCAUGCAAUUUGCCCCCAUAACUUUCCUUUUGUCCUGAGACUUGUGGCACUGAACUACGUACUGAGACAUGUGGGACUCAACUAUUGAUCACUGGUGAUCAGUAACGAUCGAUUUGGUUUGAUGCUCUUCCAGUGCAAAGGUGUAAAAAUAAUAAUAAUAACAAAAGGAAAAAAAAUGAUUACUUACUAGUUUAAUUAUGUAACUAUUGGAGCUAGAAAUGGAAAAGAAAGGUUAAAGUUACAUGUAAAUUAAAUCAAGUAAUUACAGGAGCUAAUUCUUUGGUGUAACAUGACAGCAAAAAUGAACGAAAAUAAUAAAUGUUUGGAAAACAUAUUCAGAGCUAGGCAACAUUUUAUAUAUAUAUAUAUAUAUAUAGAGUUGAACACAGAUGUAGAAAUAGCUUGUUAGCAUAGCAUUACUCAUUGUGAGACAUUAAUUGUAUGUUUGAUUGAUCGGUAAGCUAUCGCACGAUUUGUCGUUUUUAGGGCCCAGAGUUAAUGAACGGAUUUAUAGAUAAUUUUGACUCGGAUCCAAAAAGCUAACGAGUUUGCAUCAAUGCAUAGAACAUAUAAUAAUAUCGGAUCCAUACUAAGCUAGUAAAAUUUCUAUUCAAAUAAAGUAAUAAUUACGUACAUGCAUUUAGGACACGUGCAAUAGUUUCAUAGGAUGUUUUGGUAUACACAAGUCUAAGAUUUGCCUUAACAUAAUUCUUUUCCUUCACUUUUCUUCCUUUUUGUCAAAGUAUGGGAUAAAAGUAUAUUAUUAUUAACGUGGGCCCUAAUAAGAGUUUAUUUAUUAAUAAUAAAAAAAAAUGUUCAAAUAAAUAAAGUGAAAGAGACAAUUAGGUGACCAAGGUUUCAACCAUUUGUUUUAACUUCUUGUUAAUUAAUAAGAUAAUGACAUCACAAGUAGCUAAGUUGUUAUGUCUCUCUCAAGCACACCUCGAUCAUUCGUGUGUUUUCAAAUAGUGGAAAAGGAAAUUAAUCAACUCCGAUAAUCAGAUAAAUAAUUUGAGUCUGAUUCAUUUUAUUAGGUUAGGAUCAAACCUAAUAAAAAUAUAAAAAUAUAAAAAUAUUUAAACAUCGUUUUUCAUUAACUUAAAACUUUUAGAAAAUGACGAUUGUUUUAUAUUAGUUAACAAAUACUUUACUAUUUACAUGAAGGAUUGAAAUAUACACUGCCAAUUAUGCUUUGGGGUUUCGUUGUGGCAUACUAUAUAUCCCAUGUAUUGACACUGAAUUUUUGUGAGAUAAUUCACUUUUAUAAUAUUUUCUUUCAUUCUUUGAGAAGUAAUACUGCAGCAAUUUUACUCUAUUACAUCAAUUUAAUUGCCUAGAAAUUAAUGAUUGCAAAAUAAAUUUUAUUACAAAAAUAUGUGCCAUUGUGAUAAUGCAAACCAUAUUGUUUANAUAUAUCACAAUAUUUAUACCAACCAUGCAAUGAUUCUUUUUUAUUGUAAAAAAUUAUUAUUGUUGCUACAGUAUUUAUUAUUGAGAAAGAAUUAAUUUCUAGCAGUGUUGGUGGAAAAGAAUUACCGGAACAUGACAUGUAUUUAGCAUUGAUUUUGUAUAACUUAACUAUUUUCUAGGUAUCGAUAAUAUCAGAAAUAUAAAAAAAAAAAUUUAUGUAAAUAUCUGUUUUAUUUUCUUUUCCGUCAUGAUUUUCAAAAAAUCUAGCCAUGAAAAUUUGAACUUACCAAUCAAAUAAUAUAAAACUAAAAAGAAUAACAAGAAACAUUUUGGUUUGAACUUGUGUUAAAUAUAAAACUAUAUGAACAUGUUCUCUAAUAGUUUAAAUUUUUAGAGUAUAUAUAACUAUUGUUUUACAUGUAAAAAUUAUUUCUACUUCAACUUGUUUAUUAAGAUGCAACUAUUUCCACAGUAAAUAGUUUUUUUUUUUUUCCUGUGAAACACAAUAAAUAGGCUACUGACACUACACAAUUAAGAGUACCUGAUCAGCUUCGAAUUAAUUAAUGCCAUAAUAAUUCAACUUGAUCCCAAAUAUUAAUGGGGUGCAAAUCCCAACCCUUAUUAUGUUGAGGAACUCAUAUUUUGGAUAUAUAUUGCUAUUCUGCACCCAAUAAAAAUAGCAGAGUUAGAAAAAUUAAUUUGGAGGAGAAUUGAGAGAAAUUGGGACUGACAUGUUAACCCCAACCCUUUUUUUUUUAUUUGAGAAAUAGGUAGCACGUUACCGCUUCGUUUAUUUUAUUUAAAAAUAAACUUAACUGGAGAUGUGAAUCAAUUAGGAUUCGAACUUAGGAUCACAAAUACCAACCACAAAAUCUUUUGCCAUUUGCUCUAGGGACGGUCAGUCGUGAAUCCCAACCCUCCCAUUCAACAAUGAGAAAAUACUGCAUGUUGUCAUGUUGCUGGUCUACUAAUAUUUUGCUUAUGCUUAACCUAUUUUUUAAUAAUAAUAUUAUAAAAUUAAAAUCUAAUCUAAUAAAUAUGAUCUAAACUACAUAAAAAAGUUAUGUAUAAAAGAUUAUAAAAUUUAAAAUUUUAUAACAUGGUUAUUGGCAAUUCCACAAGCUUUCCAUCAACAUUUAACCUUCGAGCGCACGACCACCCCUAACGCAAGUGGUAAAAGAUUUGAUGGUUGCUAUCCGAGGUCCCAAGUUCGAAUCCUAAUUGAUUCACUUUUCCAGCUAAUUAUUUAUUUCUAAAUAAACGAAGUGACUUGCAUACUACUUUUCUCUCAAAAAAAAAAUCCUUUUGUUACAUGGCACUUGGGACUUUCAAUACAAGAAAAAGCCCAACCGGCCGUCCCUAGAGUAAGUGGUAAAGGACUUGGUGGUUGGUAUCCGAGACCCAGGUUCAAAUUCUAGUUGAUUCACAUUUCCAGCUAAAUUUAUUUCUAAAUGAAAUAAACGAAGCAGCGGGUAGCGUGCUACUUAUCUCUCAAAAAAAAAAAAAGAAAAGAAAAAGCCCUUGUAAAGGGACUUAAUGGCAUCUCGUACACAACAUGCAAUCCGAUGCAAAUGGGUCUUAUAAAUAAAACAAAUAACCGAUGGUUGGUUCAGUUGAAAAGUACAAGGCUCGUCUCGUUGCAAAAGAUUUUGACCAAAAAGGAGUUAGAUUUUGUCAACAAAUAGCUUAUUAUUGGGCUUAAAAGAAUAAUUUAAAGUGUAAAAGGUUGAUGUUCAACCUAUUCUUGGGAUUUAACAGUGGGUUAUCAUGCACUUUGUUAACAAGAGGAUAAUUUUGAAUAUAUAUAAAACAAUUAAAAUAUGGCUUUUUAACGGGCUUAAGCUUUUGGCGCAAAUGGUUAUUUUUAAGCUUUUGGCAUUAAUGGUUAUUUUAUAUAGGACUAGAUUAAGAGGCCAAAUCCAACCAAACUAAGCAUUUUUAAAACUGAAGCUUUUAAAGUAAGUUUAUCUUCGCAGAUAAAGGCCAUCUAUUUUCUUGUAUAUACCACUUAAUUUAUUAUCUGUCCAAAUAUUAUUCAGAUUAAUUUCCUUUUCCAUAAUAAUCUGAAAAAGGUUUAGUUUGUGUUCGAGUUGUAUACUGCAUGCCAUCUUUGAGGAAACUUGCUUGCCUGAUGAGAGUUUUAAUGCUACACUCAAUAUAUAGAGCAGGUCUUGUGUGUUAUUAGGAGUACGAAAGCCUAUGUGUUCCUAAGCUAUUUUCGAUGAUGGAGCUUUCGAAUCGACGAUCAACUCCGUUAGACUUGAUCUAACGUAUUUGAAUUAUCUACAAAAUAAAUUUUGCAAUUAUUCGAUAUUAUUUACAUAGCGAUUAAAAGUAUUCAAAAUCAACGGCUGAAAAUAAAACUUUGAAAAAAGACAGUGAUAUAACACUAAAAUUUUCUAUCAGAAAUAUUGAUCUUACAAUAAAUAUCCAAAAAAUAUUAUCAAAAUUUUAUCUGAUUUGAAUACUUCUACACCAUUAAAUUUGUAAACGAUAUACAUCAAUCAUUAAAAUUUAUUAAUUUUUAAAACAUUUCGAUAUAUCGUUAGGUAAAUGAUAUCGAAAAAUCGCAAAAUUUAUUUUCUAGAUACUUUAAAUAUAUUAGAUCAAGUAUAAUUAGGGGUGUAAACGAGCCGAACACGAGCGAGCUGGGGUCGGCUCGUUAAAGUAUCGAGUCGAAAAAUUCAGCUCGUCUUUGGCUCGUUUAUUAACGAGCUGAACACGAGCUGGCUCACGAGCUAGCCAACGAAUAAUAAAUUAAAAAUGAUUAGAUUAAAUAUAUAUAAAAAAUAAAUUUAUCAAAUCUUAUUCAUUAGACUUUGAUCUAAUAGUUGAAAUCUUUACAUAUAAAUGAGUCUUUUUUUAUAAUUAAACUCGCAUUUAUAUUUUUAUUUUACUAAAAAUUAAUAUAAAAAUAUAUAUUAUAUAUAAUUUAUUUAUAUAUAAAAAUAUAAAUUAAAUAAUAUAUAAAUAUAAAUAUAUGUAUUCGAGCUGUUAUCGAGCCGAAACACGAGCGAGCUGACCCCAGCUCCGUUUUCGGCUGUUUAUUAAACGAGCUGAAAAUCCAGCUCGUAUUCGGCUCGUUUACUAAACGAGCGAGCCGAUCUCGAGCUCAUUUCAAGUGAACACGAGCUGGCUCGCGAACAGCGAGCUGGAUUGCCACCCCUAAGUAUAAUGGAGCCGAUCAUCGAUUCGUAAGUCCCAUCAUUGAAAACGACUUAAGAGCACAAAGGCCUCUAUGCUCCUAAAAGCACAGAAGACCUACUCUCCAAUAUAUAUAUAUAUAUAUAUAUAGAGAGAGAGAGAGAGAGAGAGAGAGAGAGGAGAGCUAGGCUGGAAUACUGUUGAUAACAAAAGGCUUUUUUUGCUAUCAAGUUUUUAACACUUAGAUGAGAAAUUAUAAAGUUAGGAUGAUAUUAGUCCUUUGGGGUUGAACGGUCCCCCUAAGGUUGAGUGAUCUCCAUUGGAUUAUAAUAUUUAAUCUAAUGGUUAGAAAUGAUGAAAGCAAUUAAUUCAAAGGCUAAAAUUUGAUAGCAAAAAAAGUCUUUUACUAUCAAUAGUGUUCUAGCCUAUAUAUAUAUAUAUAUAUAUAUAUAGAGAGAGAGAGAGAGAGAGAGAGAGAGAGAGAGAGAGAGAGAGAGAGUGAGCUAGAAUACUCUUAAAAGCAUCAAGGGAGUGGUGCUUUUCAGUUUUUAACUAUUGGAUGGAAAGAUGUAGGGUUGAGAUCAUGGUGGUAAGUGGAAUUGUGUUUGAUCCGAAAGUAGUUAUUAAUAAUUAAGGAGUAAAUCGAGCUAGAAACUUAAAAGCACUAAAGAAUUGGUGAUUCUAAAAAUAUUCUAGCUCAAUUCUAUAUAUGUAUAGAGUGAGAGAGAGAGUCCGGCUAUGAUGCUUAUAAAAGCAUCAAGUAUUUGGUGUUAUAAAUUUUUUACCAGAUCAAAAUAUAUAUAUAUAUAGAGAGAGAGAGAGAGAGAGAGAGAGAGAGAGAGAUAGUUAGUUUUUUUGUUAGUUUCAAUGCUUCACUCAAUAGAGUGAUAUGUACCUAACACUUGUGGCUCUUCACGUCUAAAUUUGCGUGUUGGAGAGGCUGUACAUAUACACUAUCCUUUUUUGGAGAAAGGUACAUAUACACUAUCCUGAUCUGCAAAGAUGGGAACUUUUUGAAGUUGUCCAAAGUGCUUCAGUUCAACCCAUCAAAUCGGAUUGACUUAAGACCCUUUAGACCUUUUCAGAUCAGUGAUUCGUUCAGUAAAUCUAUGAACCCACUGAAUUUUAUAAGAAUAGGCCGGAUUUUUUUCUAUUUUAUACUUUAAUAAUUAAAAAUAAUAAUAAUUUAGUGUUUAUGACAUCAUUUAUUGUGAAAAUAAUUUUACUUUUUGAGUGAAUGGUAGCACAACAGAUACUUUAUUUUUUUUUAAACUGAAAAUAUAAAACAACUAAGCUUCGAAUUUAGAAUCUCACAUAUCAAUCAUCAAGCUCAUUGCUUACGUUGGGGACGACAAAUUAUUAUAAAAAUAACUUUUUUAAUAAAAUAUUAUAAAAAUAAUUAAAAAUAAAGUUUUGAGAUGGUACGACGAAACAAAACACAUCAAUAAGAAAUCCACAACAAACGUGGUGGGCAAGGUGAAGGCACUCCAUAUUGCUUGAUCAUAGGGGAGGGGGGAUUAAUUGCUACUUAUAUAUAUAUAUAUAUAUAUAUAUAUAUAUAUAUAUAUAUAUAUAUAUAUAUAUAUAUAUAUAUAUAUAAAAGCUUUUUUCACUAUUAUAUCCAUUAAUUUUGCAUGUUUUACUUCAAUUUUAAUCGGGACCAUGUAUACUUUGUAGUGGAAGUAAUGGUAAUUUUUUUGUUAACAGAAAUUGCUUACUAUUCACCGUGAGAUGCGCUUUUGUAUUUUUCCGUAGCUGUCGAUGUUAGAUUUUAAAUGAAGGCCUGUGAAAAUAAAAUAUGUCGGCAUAUAGGACAAAACAUAAUUACACUACUGUAGAACCCAUAUCCCAAUCAAGAAGGAACUAUGUGGAACAAAGGUUUAUAAUUAAAACAUUAUUGAAUCGUGGGCGCUAAUUAUUAAUUCUAAAAUUUAAAUUAUUAAAAAAAUAUAAUUAAUAGUACUCAUGAAUUUUGAUUAUGAUUCGGCCCAUUCAGCCUAACGUAACUUCUAAUACGACUCAGCUAAUUCCGAUCUCCUGUCAUUUCGAACAUAACUCAUCUCAAACUGAUUUUUCAUCACAGGACAGAAUAAUAGCCCCCUUAAGCCAACAAUCCCAUUCCCCCACCCUCUUCCCGAGUAGGGCUAGAAUAUUUGUAAAAGUAUCAUGGGGGUGAUACUUGUGUGUUUUUAGUCCUUGGAUGGAGAGAUGUGAGGUUGAGAUGAUGGUGGUAGGUGGUGGUAGGUGGAAUAGUGUUUAAUCCAAGGGCUAUUAAUAAUCAAAAAGUAGAUCCAAUGGCUUAAAACCUAAUAGCACCAUGAUAGUGAUACUUGUAAAAGUAUCAUAGCUCAACUCCUCUCCUCUCCAGCACUUGUAUAAAUUUGCAGUAUGCGGGAAUUCAAUCCGUAAACUCUGGCUCUGAUAUCACAUGUCGAAUCGUUGACGCUAACUAUUAAUCCUAAAAACCAGAGCUGUUAGAAAGAUGCAAAUAAUUUCUUUAAAGCGUAUAAAUACAGCGCUUACGGAUUUUGAUUGUGAUUCAACUCAACCAGUCUCAUACUACUUCGAAUAUGACUUAGUCCAAUCCAACCUCUCGUCAUUUCGAACAUAACUCGUCUUAAUUUGACAUUCCGUCGUAAGGUAAAAUACUGAUUUUUUUAAACCAAUAAAUAUUAAUACUAUGAACCAAUUAGUACUCAUUAUUCUCUGCAUCUGUCAAAAA